rnacentral:lncRNA from 1 species
CUGGUACUAACAUUUUAUCAUCUUGAUUUACUUUUUUAGUGCAAUCACAUACUUGUUCAGCAAUAGUUUUCGUCUUACACUAUUGAGCUAAUCCACAGUUGCCAUAUUUUGGCUGGUUUAAAAUGUCUAUCCACAAAUUUCUGUUGUGAAGUUUUUCUGGUUACCAUUCAUUUUGGUUUUCUUGUUCAACUUUAUUAUUUUCAUGUGUUGUAUGGGACGAUCAAUAAAGUACUGAUCCAAACUGAAUCUAUUUUCCCUGUUGGACUGGGUAUACUUCCUUGAGAUAUGAUGCCAAUCAAAUUGCACUACAAAAGUGAAUGCAUGGAACUAGGUUUGAAAGUAGUUACUCGUAUUUUAUCUUCCUAACCUUUAUCAUGACUCUGAAGCCUGUCUAGUUUUUAUUGCUACCAGCUGUUGUUCUUAGUUUUAACCCCUUCUUCUUGUCCUAAGACUUCUCUUGUUUUCCCUUGUGGGGUUUGUAUAUUAGUUCCUCUUGCUGCUUAAAGCGCUAUCAGUUUUAUUAUGCUUAUUUCCACAAGUAGUGUAUCAGUUGUUGGCCUCUUGACAUCGAACAAUCUUCAAUCAAACAGGCAUUUAAACAAGAUAAAUCUCAAUGAGGACCCAAUUAAUUGUAUUGCAGCCCUCAAAUUACCAUAAAGACUGAAGAUAAGGUGAUUUUCUAAGUUAUCCUUGAGUUGGACUUGCUUUGUACAGAGACAGAAGCUUAUCAAUGUAUCAAAUACUCCCAUGAAAGUAAGAACCUGAGAAUCAAAUCCAUGACACAUGACAUAGAAAGCAUAAAGAUGGUGAAUAAUCUCACAGUGGCUACUUAGGAGAAUUAUGAUUUUAAGAAGUUCAGAUGAUGGUUGUCUCUUGAAGAAACACAUUGAGAAACUUUGGUGGAGUUUUCAAUGUCUUGCAACUAGGACAUUCUUUUAAAAUUUCCCUAAACCUCAUGAAGAUGACACAAAAACUGUAUGUAGUAUAACAUACUUUGUUUCGACCUGAUAACCUAUCAUUAUGAUUUCUGCCUGAUUUUUGUAUUUUAGGCCAGAAAUAAUGCUCGGAUAUUGAUCUCUGGCUCAUUAAAAAUGUUCAGCAACCAGUAAGUAUUUUUCUUGUUCUGGCUGCAGCUGUAUAAGUUGAUAAUUCUGGUUAAUCAAACUUUGUUAUUUGUUCAGAUUCUUCAGAUAUGGGGUACAGAAAGCUGGAAGUCCGACUAAGUAAGUUGGUUAUUCUUUUCAUUCCUCAAUCCACUGCAUUGAAAUUUAUCUAUUUUAUAGUGUAUACAAAACUACUUGUUGCUAGACAAAAGUUUCUUUGGAAACCUGAAAAUGCUUUAAAAGUUUGAAGUUGUGGUGGACCUUUGAUGUAUUUCUGCAAUUAUUUUUCUGAUUUAUUGCAGACUUCUAAAAGGAGAAAAUGUUUGUGAAAUGGAAAUGGUAAUAAGUUUGUCUAUUUUCUUCAAUUGUAAGUAAAUGUCCUGACAGCUUCAUCUUGUGAUACUAGACAUGACAAAUCUGGAAAUGAGCAGUUUUUGACUGAAAUUAGCAAAUGGGUGUUCCAUGAAAGAGGUCAUCUAAAGGUGGGGCAUCAAAUCUCUGUUUCUUUUGUUUUUGAAAAGUAAAUGUAAAGGCUUUCUGACAAGCUACCAUGAAAAGCUUAAAAAAAAGGACUCCAAUCUCAAAUGGCAUCAGUUUCUUCAUCCGUUUGUUAUUUUCAAUCUAUGAUGUUUACUGUGCACUUUUUUUUUUUAAUUUAUAGGCUGUUAAUGUAAGACAUCACAGAGUUGGGGAGGUUGAUGAACCUUCUAUGUACAGGAUCAAUGAUGACCUGGUAAAUUUUAUUUUCAAUUUGUCCAAUGCUCCUUUGCAGUAUGAAAGCUGGGUUUGGAGUGGUUUGCUGACACUUAGAUGUAUCUGAAGGAAUACUCUGUUGAGAUCUUUGAGUGGACUGGAGCGAAUUGGGAACCAUAUGUAGCAGAUGAUGUUCAAGUUCAGUUUUACAUGAUGAGUCCGUAUGUUCUGAAGAAUUUGUCAACUGAUCUGAAGGUACACUCUUGUAUUCCAGAGCCAUUAAAGUCUAGACACUUCAUUCACCAAUUAAAAUGGACAUACUUAUUGAAGUAUUUCCCUCUCUGGGCAGGGUGUACACCAUACAUCAUUCAAAGUACCAGAUGUUUACGGAGUAUUCCAGUUUAAGAUUGAGUAUCAGAGGCUUGGGUACUCGAGCUUGAGCCUAUCAAAGCAGGUUGUCAUCCACCUCUUUGUUUACAGCCUUCAAGUGAAAGCUAGAAGAAGAUGAAUUAUCUCUCUGGACCAAAUGCCUUUUACUGCAACUUUUUUUUUUCUUUUCUUUUCUUAUACCCUUUAAACUUGGAUAUACAUUUGGUUUGGUGCAUAGGGUCUGCCAGUAAUUUGACAAUUAUUUUUUCUUCUCUUGGUAAUGCAGAAGCUCAGUGCUUGUCUUUAUCUCAAACGUGCUAUAGUUAAUGAAAAGAUACUGUGAAAAGCCUUCGUAAGUUUUAUAGAGAAAAGUUCAUUUUGGGGAGGGUGGGAAAGACUUACAAGGUUCUAGGCAAACCGUGAGGGAAAUUCAAUCUUUGUGGGGUUAUUUGUCAUCUCCUCUAGUUGUUUCAUUUUUUAUUCUUCACUUUCAAACACAGAGCUGCUUGGAGCUUUAUCUGAUAUUGAUUAGUUGUUUUACAGUCAAACUUAGAAAUAUUUGCAGUAGAGAUUAAAUGUUCUAAUCAAAUUCCAGACUUCACGUCUAUUGUAGUAUGAUUAUAUCUGGCCAAGCUUUUUACUUACUUUGAAUAGUCAAACAGUUACUUUCAUUUUUGUUUCUUCUGCCCUCAGUUUUCCCCAGAAAAAAGACAUGGACCAUGGACCCAAGAAUGUAUAUGGCAUUUGCACAGAUCUUUCUGCUCGUGUUUACCUUCCAAACAUGACUUGAAAUUGGAUUUCAGUUUCAGUUUCACCUGAAACUUUAAAACUUACUUUCUGUCAUUCACAAUUUUACUGGUGUUGCUAUGGAUCUAGUCAAGCAACUUGUGUUUGUAUCAGGUCUUGGUGCUUGUUCAUUUUAUUGCUGCUAAAGUUUGCCUUGACUAGUUUACUUCAGGAUUUAAUUUUUUUUUUCUUCUUUCCAUAUAUCUGGAAUGUAUUGUUUGCCCCCACGGUGAUAUUAAUUUUUUGCCAAAUAUAUGUAAACACCGUAAAUUUGCUAAUUCACUUGGUAAAGGUUGUUCAAAGAGAAAGCAUGUAAUAAAAUAGAUUUGUCUAUUUAGAUGUCACAAUGAUGGGUAAGAUUGAUUUUUCUAAAUCCUAUUCUUACAUGGAAACUUGAAGUCAUAACUGUUCUUUUUUCUCUCUCUUGUUGGUUCAGUAAAACUAAGAAUCAUGAGUUGUUGGUCCUUGUUAUUAACGUUGGCAUUUAUUCAUUUGUUACUUGUUGCUUGCAGAUUCCAGUUCGACCUUUCAGACAUAAUGAAUACGAGAGAUUCAUAACAGCUGCUUUCCCUUACUAUGGGGCAUCGUUCUCUAUGGUACUCUCUCUCUCUCUCUCAUCUGUGAAUGCAUAUUCACCCUACAAGUAUUAGUAGAAUUGCAUCUUUUGCAGUAGAUCUUAGAGGGGAUAUUUAAAUGAUAGAGCUUCUUUCCCUGUGGAUCACUGACAUGGCUCAUGCUGAAAAGAGUAAAAGUCACUGUGCUUGAUUUAAUAUCUGUAUACAGUUGCCGCUUUUGAGGGGGAAAAAAAAAGGGGUUGAUUGCUGCUGCAUAUUGGUUUUGUUUUUUCCUGAUCUUCUUUGAGCAAUGAUAAGGUGCUUAGUUUAUUGCGAGUUGUUUGUUUGGAGGUCUCUUUCUUCUGAAUUGGACUUUACAUUGGGCUUUAUGAAAGUCGUUCUUGUAAUGGACCAGUGUGAGGUUCCUGACUUUGUACCCGCCUAAUACGGGAAUGAGAUUAGUACCUCAAUGAUGGAGGAGAAAGUGCUUCUAGUCCGUUUCAGCCAUUUGCUUGCUCUGUUAUCUUUUCUAGUUCGUUACUUUUAAAAAAAAAAAAAAAAAAAAAUCGUUGUUGACAACCUUGAAUGUGUUGUAUUUCUGAUUUUUCUUAAACUUGUAAAUGUCUCAGAUGGCAGGUUUUCUUCUUUUCACCAUUUUCUACUUGUACAACAAGUGACAAGGGAACCAAGCCAAAGUGGUCAAGAUGCCGAAACAAAGGACUGCAUUUUGCAUGUUGAAGGGAAUGUGUCCCUUAUUUUAUGUCCGUCCUGUAAUAUUUAGGAGUUUGAGGCUCUUGCGAUCUUUAAAUUUAAGACGGAAAUAGGAGUAGAUGUAGAGAGGUUCAAUAGAAACUUUGUCUAUUUAAAUCGUUCGGUAAAUUCGUAGUUCCUUGAAAAUCAUUUUUCUGAAUAGAUUUUAUUUUCUUCUUUGUUUCCCAGUCUUUGGUUUAAAGUUUAAACACCACCCCCCCCCCCCCCAUUUUUAUUUUAACCAAAACACCAAAAAAAAAAAAAAGAGCAAAUGCUAGCUACUUCCCCUGUAAGAUGGGUGGAGGCUAUGACUUUCAGUUUCAUUCACGGCCAAUGUCCAUCAAUCGCACGCUACUACUACAUGCCUUCCGCGGCAGCAUCGCCUCCGCCAAUCUCUGGCCUGACUUCUCGAAAUGGAGGUUUAUUUUUUAUGUACUACUCUAAUAAGAAAGACGUGGAUUUAAUUUUGCAAAUAUCUCGCGAGGGCGCAAGGGUAUAUGUAUGGGUGGCAGACGAAGGGAAGCAGGAAGGCAGCGGACUGGGACUGGGACUGGGUCUGGCGAUCGUCAGUGGUAAAUUACUGGGUAAAGGAUUUUCACCCGUUGUAAUUCAGCCAAUCACCGAACACAACACCAGCUGAUAUUAUGAUAUUCACACUUCUCCUUUUCAGCUUUCUGUACCAUCUUUUUCACUUUUUAUUAUUGAUACAAAAUCUUCAUUUCCGGUGUAAAUAUCGUUUCCCUAAUUCACAGUAGUAUUAUCAAAAACUUUAAACAAAUGAGAAUAACGAAUGGUCUUGGCACUCCAUAAAAAUGUUUUGGAAUUGGACGUCCAUUAUUGGUUAGUUAACUUGACAAAAAUGUAAGCUGACCAGGUGGCAAAUUUAGACUAAUCUUUGCAAGCUGGUCAGCAUUCCCUCUCUCCAACAAACGUUGUAGUAAAUGGCAUUCCCUUUACCAUGCAGCAUUUUCUUUUCUUUUCUUACACAGUAACGAGCAAGUAUCGUCGUCGUAAACCAAGACAAAAGCUCCAUUUUUAGGGUUUCCAGAUUAAGGGCAGUCUUCGAAAACUUCUAGCCAUGACAUUAGCUAUAAAUCUCCAAUCCGAUUACAACCAACUCGAAUGCUUGCUUCUCACACUUGAACAAUAUUAAUUUUAAUAGAACUCAAGCGCUGUCACUUUUUAAAUCCAACUUACCCCAAAUUUUCACUCCGUGGCUUUCAAGCAGCGGCAAGAAUGGAAGAAAGCAGCAAGAAAAGGAAGAAAAAUUAAACAUUCAUUCUCACAACCUCAGAAAAAAAAAAAAAAGAAUUCAUUGGAAUUACUAGCAAUCGCAGUAUGGUGUGUGGCAAAGCUACUAGUAAACGCCUUGUCUGUGAAUAGAGAAGAAAAUGGCGCUAUCAGCGAAGCUUCCACGGCGUCAUUAUUGGCCUCCCAUGAAUCAGAUAAGCACAAAUCAGAUCAGCUUAUCUGGGAUUAAUGAAGGCACCUAAUUCCAUAUCUAACGCGGAUUUACAGGCUUCAACCCUGAAACCUAAUUAAAUUAAACCACAAUCACCGACGAGUGAGUGCGUGAGUGACAUCUCCCCUUUCUUCCAAAACUCCACGCCGACACACUUCCACAGCCCUCCAACUGCUACCUCCUUCCCCAUCCCAUAAUGCCCUUUACCUAUCUCUCUAUCCAUCCAUUUAAUGGUGGCCAUCUUCGGCUGGAAUCCUUUUAUAGGCGGCGGUACAAACCCUACUUCCAAAUUUCAGAAUAGUACACUCUUUAAUCCCUCCCUUAUUUAUUGAUUUAUUUAUUUCUUUUGCUCGCCCAUUAGAUAUAGACUGCGGUGUUCUCUUCCACCCCCAGUAAAAUAAAAUAAAAGAGUUUUUGUUUUUAAAUUUUAAAACAUUAACGAGACAUUUCAACGAAACACACUUUUUUACCCCUUUCAAGCAAACAAAAUAUUUAUUUAUAGUGGAUGGUUGCCUCCGGGAAUUUCUUCAUAUGAACUUAAAAAUUUACUAUAGCACUUUGAUUCUUUUUAAGGAAAAGGAGAUACCACUUUUUUCAUUAAAGCAUAAGUGACAUAAAAAAAAAACAUAUUUGUAAAUUUUGAUAAACAUGUAUAUGGAGAUUUUCAGAACUAGAAACGGACUCUAAUAUUAAAGAAUAUGUUUUUUUUUUAUUAUCCACAUCAUGGAAUUUUAUACUUAGGCAUAUUAUAUAAUUUUAAUACAGUAAAUUUUAUAUGCACUGACAGUUUAUGCACUACCACCAUUGGAUAUCCCUGACAUAUGUUUAAAAAUUAAGUUUUAAAUUCAAAUUUUAUAUAUUUAUCAUUCAUUCAACGCUACACUGUCAGUAUAAGAAAGAUUAAUCUAUUUUAAUAUGAAUUUGACAAACUUAAGCAUAUUACUUUAAAAGUCCGUGCUACGCACGGUCAAAAAGAAUGUUAUGAAAAUAAAUAAAUAAACAGCUAUGGAAAUACAUAACACAUAAAAAUUUAAUAAACAAUGGUUUAACCUAUGAAAUAUCAAACAAUUCCCACUUUUGACUUUAUAUAAAUCCCACCUAUUUCUUGCUGAAAAAUUAAAAAAAAAAACAAUUUUUAGCUAACAUCUAUCUAGUGCAAACAUGCAUUACAAAAAAAAAUGUGGUAUAACAUAUAAAACACGUCAUAUUCUAUUGGGUAAAAAACAAAAAAAUCCCCUGUGAUAAACCUAAUACACAGAAAAUUUUCCCAUGGUUUCAAAAUAUACAACACGACACCUUAUACUUUGAAAUAAAUUGUAAAGUUGACGGAAUCCGUUAAACUUAACGGAAAUGGACAAAAUGAUCGAAAUGCCCUGAUAUAAUUAAGCAAAAGACAGCUCAAAAAAUCAUUUGUUUUAUUCUCUAAAUAGAGAGAAUUGAGGGUUAAGGGAUAUAAUAGGUAUAUUUGAUAAAAAUUAGGUAUAAAAUAUUUUUUUUAGGUUCCAAUAAGUCAUUUCCGUUAAGUUUAAUGGAUUCCGUCACCUUUACAAUUUAGUCCAAAGCAUAAGAUGUCGUGUUGUAUAUUUUGAAAUCACAAGGGGCAUUUUUGUGUAUUAAACUUACCAUAGGAGACUUUUUUGUUUUUUAUCCUACUAUAUUUGCUAAAUGUCAAUUCAUUUCACAACUAUUAUGUCCAAUAUUUAGAAAUUUCAAUAAAGCAUUUGCCAAAAUGUCAAAUUCAUUACAUUGGGCAUAAAAUCCAUAGAGUAUCAUAUUCUUUCGAGAAGAAUAAAAAUAAUUAUCAAGGCUCUAUUUUAUAUAAUUUUAAAUUUUAAAUUUCAAAAUCUUUGUUUGUUUAUUUGGCCUAAAAUAGUAAGUAGUACAUGAUGGCUUUAUAUUUGUAAAACAAGAUUAUAAUGCAUUAAAUAUAUGCAACUUAAGUAGGAGAAUAUUGGUGAAUAGAGACGAGUAAAUUUUUAGCAAAAAUCAUUCAAAACGUCUCUCAUAUUUUGUGAAAUGACUUUUUUCGUCCCUCACUUUUAAAAGUAUUUUUUUACGUACCUUACAAAUUCACAUUGGUCAAAUUUGGUCUCUAUGCAGGCUUCCGACUAGUUUUUUUGUCAGAAUUUAUCACAUGCCUUGCAGGUGAUCAUUUUUAGGGACAAAAUUGUCAAAUUAAAAUUUAUAUAAUCUGAUCUAUAAUCCCUUAUAUUUCACAAAAUGAAUUAUUUCGUCCCUUACAUUUCACAAAGUAAAUUUUUUAAUCCCUCACAUUUCAGAAAAUAAAUUUUUUCAUCCAUCAUUCACCAUGUAUAUAAAUAGUUUUUUUUAAAUCUAUGUAUAUAUCUAUUUGAUUUCACAUAAAUAGUACAAAUAACACGUAAUAUAUCUCUAUUUGAUUUCACCUAAACAGACUAAUUAUAAUUGUAUACAUGCUACUCAAUAGAUAUAUACAUGAGUUUAAAUCUAACAAUUUUGUUAUAAACCCAUAUAUAUAUAUUUAUUUAUUUGAUUUUACCAUGUGAAUCUAUUCAAUAUUUGUAGCAUUUUUCUUUUGAUAAUAAUUCAUUUAUUAAGUUGUAUAAUAAGACCAUCUAAUUAAUCAGUCCUAAUUCAAAUUCUAUAGUCAUGCUAACAAAUUACAAUUUAAAUCUGAAAUUUUUACUCACCACCUUUAAGACUAACAGUUGAAUUUUUUACUUUUGAUUGUCUUAAAAUUUGAAAGUAUUAAUCACUUACUUCUUUUUGUUAUACUUUUCCUUUGUUUAUUUUUUUGUCCAAAUUUAAUUCAAUAUAAAUACUUGAUAAUAUUUAGAAUUAAAUAUCUUCUUUAUUUUCAAUUUUUGAGUAAAAGAAAAUGAAUAUUAGUGAAAAAUUAAUAAUUUUUUUAAACCCCUGUAUAUAUCUAUUUAAUUUUACUUAAAUAGUACAUUUAGGUGAAAUCAAAUAGAGAUAUAUUACAUGUUAUUCGUAUUAUUCAGGUGAAAUCAAAUAGAUAUAUACAUGAAUUAAAAAAAAGUUAUUCGUACGCAUGAUCAAUGAAGGAUGAAAAAAUUUAUUUUGUAAAAUAUGAAGGAUGAAAAAAUUUAUUUUGUCAAAUGUGAGGGACAAAAAUAUUCAUUUUAUGAAAUGUGAGGGAUUAUGGAUCAGAUAAUACAAAUUUUGAUUUGACAAUUUUACCCUUAAAAAAUGAUCACGUAUAAGGUACGUGGUAGAUUCUGAUAAAAAACUAGUCAGAAACCUAGAUAGGGAUCAUAUUUGACCAAUGUGAAUUUGUAAGGGACGUAAAAGUACACUUUUAAAAGUGAGAAACGAAAAAAAUUAUUUUGCAAAAAGUGAGGGGCGUUUUGAACGAUUUUUCCAAUUUUUAAAGCAAGAUAUAGAAUACAAUGAUGAAUAGAAGCAUGCACAAUACAUAAAAGAUAAAAGUAUUGUUAUACUUUAAUAUUCAUAAAAGAAACAACUUGUGUCAUCUAUGGACCAUAAUGUGUAACAACUAAAUUUAUUACUACAACAUUUUUUCAAAACCCCAUACUUUUCCAAACCCUUCCCAUCCCCUAAAUUUAUCAAAACUAAUGAUAUAUAUAAACUUCAAAUUUGCCACAAAUUCAUAAGAAAAAAAUACUAUUCAUACAUUUUUAUUGGAAUUCACUUAACAUAAGAACAAGAAUUACAUUCUUCCUUUAGUGAAAAACUCUUUUUUUUUGUUUACUAUUCGUUAUCACAAAUAAGCUUUUUAGAUAAAAAUGAUAUAAAAUUUUAAUCUAUUUAUUGUGUAAUAAAAUUUAGACCAUUGGUUGACUACAUUUUUAUAUUUUUUUUUAUUUUGAAUGGGAAUUGCAUAUGUUACUUCUUACAGCAAAAUUUAAAAAUUGUAAAGUUAUUCUUUCAUUUAGUAAAUUUAUUACUGAUUUUUAACCUAAUAAUUGGAUAAAUUGUUGUCAAUCGUAAUGAUUUAAAAUUUUGUUUCAGUUUUAAUUUUAUUAUUUCACGUACUUGUUAGGUCUUUAGAUUGUAAAUUGAUAUUUUUUUUAUUUUUGAAUUGCAUAUUUUUAGAGAAAGAGAGUUUUUAGGAGCUUGUUUGAAUGGUCUAGAAUAAAAACUAGAUGAAGAAUUUAUACAUGUAUAGAGACAUAGAUGAUAAUAUGUAAAAUAUAGACAUUUGUUUAGAUAAUCUCAUAAUUUGAAAACACAGAUAAUAGAUAUAAAAACCAAAUAGAUUUUGGGAAUAAAGGAAAAAAUUCACAAUAGUAAUUUAGAUUAGAUUAAUACAUAACCAAAAAUAUAUGCGGACUAGAAAACUCAUUUUUCCUUUUGAAUGUUAAAGUCGUGUGUAUCGUCAAGGUGUUAGGAUUUCAAAUAAUUUAAAUUUUAAAACGAUGAAAAUAUAGUCUACAAUCAAUUUCUGAGAUCAAUUCAUUACAUUUUAGGAAUUAAAAUAAAUAGAAAAUCUACAAAAAAAUAAGGAUUGAGAGUUUGGAGGUAUGGGAAGACUUUUGACCGAAAACUCCUCCUAUAAUUUAUAUAGAUAUGGAUAUCUAUAUUACAUAUAAUGAGAGAUCCUCCUUUUAAUGUAAACAAUUUAUGUCACCUAAUAUUAUACCAAAAAUAACCUCUAAAAAUAAUUUUAAAAUAUUCAAGUUCCUUCUUUUUUCUAGGCCAUGAUCUUGAGUAAGGAUGUAAAUGAAUAUAAUCAAUCUGAACACCCUAGUGUAGAGACUUGUUUGAUUAUUUUAAUAAAUUUAAAAUUUUGUUCAAACUUGGCGUGUUUGUUCAUCAAACUGAGUUUGAACAAGUUUCUUAUCAAACUUGAAUGUUAUCAAACCUAAAAUGCUGUUUCGAUUUAGUUUGACUAGUUGGCGAACCAAGGUCGAACAAGCUUUUACCAAACCGAACUCGGUUCGAAUAUCAAAUAGUUUGAUUUAUUUUUCAACCCUAAUUUUGAGUACAUUUACUCACAUUCCCUCUUUUUCUCUACCAUCAUUUUAAAUACAACAACUUCCUAAAAAAUAAAAAGAAAUAUAGUAGUAUCUAUAGAUUUUUCAGAAAAGCACAUAAAUCCCCUAACGUAAUUUUGCAUAUAAUAGUUCAUUAUAAAAAAAUACAUAUUUAUAAAUUUUGAAAUAAGGACAUAAAGUGUGUCAAAAGCAUAGUAGAUGUUAAAGUGCAUAUCAUGUUGGUGUUAGGAUUUGAAAUAAUCUAAAAUUUGAAAUUAUAAGAAUAUCAUCCGCAAUUAAUACUGUGAAAUCAACUCAUUACAUUUUUAGAAUUUAAAUAAAUAGAAAAUCUACAAAAAAAAAAAAGGAAUUAAGGGUUUAGAGCUCUAGGAAGACUUCUAAGCAAAAAUCCUUUCUUUAAUUUAUAUAGAUAUAGAUAUUAAAGUCAUAAGUAUCAUCAAGGUGUUAGGAUUUGAAAUAAUUAUGAGAACAUAGUCUAUGGUCAAUAUUUUGAAAUUAAUUCUUUAUACUUUUGGAAUUAAAACAAAUAUAGAUAUAGAUAUUAAAGUCGUGAGCAUCAUCAAGGUGUUAGGAUUUGAGAUAAUGAUGAGAAUAUAGAUGGUAUUGAAAUCGAGUCAUUAAAUUUCAGGAAUUAAAACAUUAGAAAAUCUAUAAUAAAAAAAAAGGAAGUGAGAGCUUGGAGGCCUAGAAAGGCUUCCAACCAAAAACUCCUUCUGUAACUUAUACAGAUAUAAAUGUUUGUUAAAGUCAUGUGUAUUAUCAAGGUAUUAGGAAAUAAUUUAAAUUUUGAAAUGAUAAGAAUAUAGUCUACAAUCAAUAUAUUGAAAUUAACUCAUUACAUUACAUUUUAGAAAUUAAAAUAAAUAGAAAAUCUACAAAAAAAAAAAAAAAGAAUUGAGAGUUUAAAGGUCUAGGAAGGCUUGUAACCAAAAACCUGUUCUAUGAUUUAUAUAGAUAUAGACAUUAUGGUACUUUGUUUUUAAAUUUUUUUAAUCCUCCCUCCCAUUUUUCACACUCUUUUCACUCUCAACUGUUAGAUGCAAAAUUUGAUCCUAAAUCUAACAAUAGAAAAAACUCUAAAAGAGUUCUCCCUUGAUUAUAUAUAUAUAUAUACACUAGUAUGUGAAUGCUAGUAUAUGUACUAAAUUACUGAAAUUUUCAAAAAUAGUGCUACAUUCAUAUCAAUUUUAAGUCGUAUUCUUCCAUAAGAGACAUUAGGUUAUUAAAUUUUUAUCAUCUUAUUAGUUUUAUAUUGUACAAAUCAAUAGAAAUUAUGAUAUGUGCUAUAUUUAACUAGAGAGAUGUGUUAAUUAUUAUCCUCACAACAAAUAUUAAAUUAUGAAAAUAAAUUUAAAUAUUAUUCGUGUAGUACAAUACAUCAAAAAAAUUUACGUAUUUUAUAUAGUUAGUCGAAAGGUACAAAUUAAUUUUUUUCAAACAUGUGAAAUUCGAAAGUUUUUUUUUUCUAAUCAUAUUGUUGUAGCAUACAAUUCAUUUUACUAGCUAUGGUUAUCUAAUCUUUUAGGCUGUCCAAAAAAUUGGUGUUUGAGUAAGAAUUUAGAUUUGACAUUUAAGUGAGUCCAGACUCCUUAGUCUAUAUAUAUUCAUGAGGGAGUGCUGAUGAGAAUGAAAUGCUAAGCAUUAAUUAUUUGGUAUGAUAACAUUAUAAAAGCGUUCACAUUGGUGAAUACCGUCUUUAUUAUAAUUUAUACAUGGCAAGUGAUUAAAAAAAUUAGUUAUAUGUUGGAUACCGUCUUUAUUAGUCAUGGCAAGUAAUUAAUUGAAUCUAUCCAUGGAGAGGACGAAAUAGAGAUAAGUACGUACUAGGAUCCUCACGCACUAUAUAUAUCUAACUAUAUAUGCCUGAGUCGGGUGCCUCCUCCAGCACCGUUGGUCAGUUCUUCCAACACUUACCGCCACUUUCUCCACCCUUUCCACCAACUUAAAAAGUUCUCCUUAGACCAGGUAGGCUGACAAGUUUCCCAUUUGUACAUCUUUUUUCUUUAUGCAGGGCAUAUCAUUUUGUUUUUUUUUUUGUUCGAUCAGCAUUCUCUGGCCAAACAUGAAAUCAGAAAAAAAAAAUUGUUUUUACAUUUCGGGAGCACAUUUUUUUUUCUUUUUUUCCCAAAAGAUCUAACGAACCUUGAAAAGUUGGUAUGGAAUCUAACCUACACAAGAGCAAUCACACGUACACACAACGAAUCCCUGCCACCUGGUCCUCUAUCCGUACAAAAAAUUUCAUGGUAAGGUGUCUUCUUCUCUUCUGUAACAUCCACCAACAACCAUUAACAACACACACACUAUCUGAGGAAAACCUAUAGCCCAACCCAAAAGGCAUGAUCAAAAUUAUGGCUUCUAUUAUUAUAUUUGUUGGUGGAUUAAUUUUUGUAGAAGAGAAAUUUGCAACGGUGGAUUGUCUGUCAAUGAACUGAAAAACAAGAGUAGGAGAAAUUUGUUCAUCCCACCUGCUGACAGCUAUGGUAGCUAUAGUUCUUCUUAAAUCCCCAAAUACUCUUCUGAAAAUGAGCUUUUUUCCAGAGCAUGGGUACCUGACUGCAAGUUCGAAGAGAUUUAAGCUAUAGAAUGCUGCAAAAAUGGGGUCUUCAGCAGUAACGUGUAAAUAUAAACCCAGCCGUAGUAUUCCAUGGUAAAUUUCUUUUUUUUUUUUUUUUUACUGCUACCCAUAUCCCCAAGACAGCUUAAUCAGUAAAUCGGUUGCACCUGAUGAAAAGGAUUCAGUCAUACAUAACCCCUCCAAAAGGAAACUAACAUCUUCCUCUCUAAUUCCUGCAUAAUCUCGUUUGCUUUUUUGAAUUUGUCCAUGACACAGAAAAUUUACUCUUCUUCUUUUCUUUUCUAUUCUGUAGAAUCUGUACUGCUGUCUGCUGUUGCAGAUUAAGGCCUGUUUCUUUUCAUAUUACUGAGCAAUGGGAAACAUUUUACAGUUAAAUAAUCCUUCUUCUUCUUCUUUUCUUCUUUUUUUUUACCCUGUUCCAAAAAAGUUUAAUUGUGGUUGGAACUUAAUGGUUGGGCAGCUGCAUGGGUUGCUUUGGCGGUAUCUUCAACAAGAACAAGGUGAUCUUCAUCAUGGGAGCCACAGGAACUGGAAAAUCCCGUCUGUCAAUCGACCUGGCAACCCAAAUUCCUGCUGAGAUUAUAAACUCGGACAAAAUACAAGUGUACAAGGGACUUGACAUUGUGACCAACAAGGUUACCGAGAAGGAGAGAGAAGGGGUGCCGCACCAUUUGCUGGGAGAAGUGGAGCCUGAUUCCGACUUCACUACUCGUGACUUCUGUUACGAGGCACUCUCAGCCAUAGACAGGAUUCUGGACUCUGGUCGAUUCCCAAUCAUUGUUGGUGGAUCCAAUUCGUUUCUCGAAGCACUUGUGGAGGACCCUCUUUACAAGUUCAAAUCAAGAUUCGCUUGUUGCUUCAUUUGGAUUGAUGUUUCCCCACCCGUUCUUUUUUCCUAUGUCUCCAAAAGAGUUGAUCAGAUGGUGGAUGCAGGUCUAUUCCCUCUCUCUCUCUCUCUAAUUCGCCCCUUUGGUGUGUGUGUGUGUAUGUAACACCCAUGCUUGUAUAGUAUUGAGUUUGAUAUAGAUUAGGUCUACAUUUGUCUUAUCUCAACAAAAAAAAAAUAUAUUAUUGGUCGGAUAAAUUAAAGUAGAUUAGAUGUGCUUUAUUGUGAUAAAAGGAUGCGUAAAAUAAUCAAACAAUUUUUCACAUCGGAUUAUUUUCCGACCGAAAUUGAAAUUACAUUACGAAUUAGCCACGUACGACUGUUAGUGAGUUGGGUCCUUUUUCUUGAUUUAUUAUCCGGCUCAAAUAAAGGUUAAAAUCAAUCUAAUACCAGAGAUUAAUGCUUGCAUCACUAUAAGCAGGCCUAGUUGAAGAAGUUGGAGAAAUAUUUGAUCCGGAGGCAGAUUAUGGCAGAGGCAUUCGACGGGCAAUUGGAGUCCCUGAAAUGGACGAGUACUUUCGGGCGGAGGCAAAAAUGGACGAAACAAGCAAGGAGACGUUGCUGGCUUCAGCUAUUGAAGAAAUUAAGAGCAACACUUGCAAAUUAGCUUGCCGUCAGGUGGAGAAGAUUCAGAGGCUAAAGAACGAGCUUAGAUGGCCCAUAAGCCGCAUCGAUGCUACAGUUGUGUUCGAGAAAACAAGCGGAGAAGAAGCUGAUAAUGCAUGGAAUAUGUGCGUCCUCGACCCAUGCAUGGAGAUACUCAGUCCAUUUCUCAAUGCAUAGCAGCAGGAAGCCCUUCCCCCAAAAGAAAAAAAAAUGAACAUCAUGUCCCAACCGAGAUGAAAAUGUCUUGGAAGUUGCAAAUUAGCUGGCUUACAUCUAUAUAUAUAUAUAUAUAUAUAUAUAUAGCAAAAAUUUUAUGGAUGGUUUUCCUUGGCUAUGGUGUGUAGGAAAUUUAAGUUUGCGUAGAAGCGAGAUUUUACAUGGUUGGAUUAAAUCUAAUCGUGUAUUGGAAAAUAUUAUAACCUUGAUAGUCUUCUUCAUAGCCAUAAUUGAUAAUACCAGUCGUAUUCUUUUUUUUUUUUUUGGGGUCAGAAACACAAGAAAUUAAAAGGCUUAACUCACCCUGUAAAUCAUGUUCCCACAUAAACCAGUUAUCUCAAUUCUCAAAUUCAGCUCCAACUCAUAUUAAAUAUGCCCUAAACAAGUAAGAAUACAACAUCUGGUGAACACGAAAGAGAGCACAAAGCAAACAAACCAGACUAACUAAAUCACCAAAUCAAGCAGAGACGACACUGGAAAAGAAAACCAGUCACUAGCAAAUGGAAAAUGUGAGCCAUGCACGUAGAGAAAGAUCGAUCAAGAUCAGAGCGUGGUGGUGCAGGAUCCAAUUAACAAUGGAAGGAGUCGAUAAUAUGGCAUUUGACAGGGAGUUCCAUGGCGUGGUCGGGAUCAAUUCCAAACAUAGGCAUGUAGCUGGAAAAUGAGCAAAGGCAAGUCAAGUCGGCAAGCUUGAGAGCCGUGCAACAACGACCCUGUUGCGGGACCUUAACAGCUGCAGCCGCCACAGCUGGUUUGCAGGACAUCAGAUCGUCAAUGCUUAUCCCACAAAUAUCACUGGGGUGUACUACAGGGACAGCAUUGGCCCCAAUGGCGGCUGCAACCACCACCAAAGCAGUCACCACGGCAAGCUUGCCAGUAUUACUCGCUGCUCCCUCCAUUGAUAACCGAUAUAUCCUGUCGGUGUUCAACUAACUAGCUAUGCUUGUGUAGUUAACCUGUGGAUAUAGUGUUGAUGAUAUUGUGGUUUCAGGGAUAUCGACUGGAGCUUGUAUUUAUAGUAGUGGAAAUGUAAGACAUGCAGAGAGGAGGUGGUAAUAACUAAUUGUGAGUCGUACCUCCCGUGAUUAUGCAUGUGAGUGUGAGUGUGCGCGGGCUUUUUUUUUUUUUUUUUUUGGUAUUGGAAAUGGUGAAAGAAAUGCGAAUAGUAUAAUUCAAAUUAGAGUGAAUGAUUAAAAAAGUCACAAAACUAUUAAAUAUGACACAAGUUUGUAAUGAGAAGAGUCGCUAAACUGGCAAAAAUAGGUCAUGGAGAUUAUUUUGUCAAAUUCUAUCGGUAAAUCAUUGAAAUUUAACAAUCUUUUUGGUAAAAUUGCCAUUGGCAAUCGAUUGUUUUAUAGGUAAAAUUUGAUAAAAUAACCUCGUUCACCCUUUUUUUUAAUUUAGUGAUUUUUGUGGCCAUAAAAAAGUUUGAUAAUUGAUCCGUGCCAAAUUUAAUAGUUUAGUGACUGCCAUUCACUCUUCAAAUUAUCCCAUCCUUUAAAAAUGUAGCAACUCUAGUGGCUAGUCAAACUCUGCCACCCUUUUCUCCAAUUUCAUGCAUGUUGUUUUUUUGUUUGAUUGCAACGUCUUUGUAUAAUUUCCUAUAAUAUAUAUAUAUAUAUGACUAUGCAUAACCUACCUUUUUGCUUUGACGUGUAUUUAUAAAAAAUGACUGAAAAAAAAAACCUACUUUUGAAUGAUCAUAAGACAAACUUCAAGAGUUGUUAAUUAGGAAGUCAUUGAACAGCCAACAUACCUUUAAGGUGUGUUUGGAUUGUAUUUUCCGUCAUUUUUCAUGAAAAAAUUACUGUAGCGAUUUGAUAUAUGUGAGAGAAAAAGGUGAUAGGGAAAUAUGAUCACGAAAAACGAUAAUAUUUUUCGACGAAAACAAGCAAUCCAAACACACCCUAAUAGGGAUUUACUUAAUUUCUAAUGGAUGUCUCGUGACUAAGUGCCACAUCUGUUGGCUUUAUCCACCAAUUUGUACACCAAAACCUCACGGGCUUGCUUUGUAUGAUGGGGUGGACUAUUUUAAUUAGCGGCUUCUAAACAGGAUUAACUUUUGCAUCGAUCUUGAAUCGCUUAAUUCCUUGGUUUGAAAAAUUUUACUAGUAAAUUUUAUUGAAGAGGGCUGUGCCGGUUUGCACUUUCUCUCUGUCAGUAGUGUCAUGUGGACUCGAAACUUUCUUGAAGCUUUCUGCGGGUCUUCGGAAUUAGGUGAAUCUCAAAACACUCUGAUUACGACCGAAGCCCGUGGUAUACAGUGCAUCGCAACAUCAAACUACUCUUAUUAUCUUAGUUUAGUUGCUAAUUAGUUCUAUUCUAUGCUCGCAAACACUUCUGCUAUUUUGUGACAGAGUAAUGAUGGCUACAUUGUUUGAAUUAAUCUUAUACACAGUGAGUGACAGUGUAUGCGCUGUCACGGUUGAAUAUAUGUAAAGUUUGAAUUUCAAAUUCGAAUUCAGAUUAAUUAUCAUGCAUUUAAUAUUAUUAAUGUAUAGAGUGCCGGGCUAAAGAAAAUUAUUAUAGCAUAUAAUGUUGUAAUUCGAAUUAUUGCAAAUCCACCCAUGUUUGGGAACAGGUACAGCAGAGUAGCAGAGGUUUAUGGAGCUGUAUUAAUAGUUUUGAUUGCAAUGAUUAAGAUAAUUUAGUGGUAUUAGGUAAGUCACAUGAGUUAGCGCAGCAGCUUUAAACACUACUGGUAACAGAUAGUAUGUCACUAUGUGAGGAAAUUAUCAGCAUAUAAUAAACAUGAAUACUUCUUAAAAUAAUAUUUGGGUUUGUUUGGAUAGUGUAUUAUUUGAAAUAUUAUUUGGAAUAAUUACUGUAGCACUUUUUGUGAUGUGAUGUAUGUGAGAUAAAAAGGUGAUCGGGAAUAUAAAAAGGUGGAUUGGGAAAUACGUUUAUGAUGCAAGCGAAAUAUUAUUUGGAAUAAAAGCACUGUCCAGAUAAAAGCAUUAUUAUUAACAACUAGUGGCUUAUCAGAAUUGUGGUGCUCUUGAAGUUUCAAAAAUCAGAAAUAUUGGCUUCAAACCUCCGUUCUCUCUCACUUCGUUUUUUAGAUCCCACUCAUUUCCUGUCGAAAGGAGACGAAAGAAAUUGGUGAUGCAUGUAUACAGGUAUUAGAUAUAACAAUGUUUGUACUUUUUCCCCCUUCAAUUUACCAAGGCAAUAACAAAAAAAAAAAAAAAACACGCGCGCGCGACAUUUUUUUGCUAACAGCAUAUCUUCAUGGAUGAUUUAUUAUUGAAUUGUUUUAAAAGCUGAUUUUGGAACUGAUGCGAGGAUGCUUUGGAAGCUUGAAUGCAGGGCGAAUUUAGUUUAGUUUCACGACGAAAGCAAAUAUUAAACCCCAUGCAAAAUCACGCAGAUUAGACGGUGCCUUUUCAGCAUAUGACAUUUGAACCCAUGACCUAGGAUGCGUAACCCAUGCUGGAUGACAAGGCCUGCCCAUAUCCAUCCAAUAUGACCUACCAUGCUCAAGUCCAACAGGAAACGCUCAAUUCAAUUGAGAACUCUCAAUGCAAAAAAAAGAAGUAAUUAAUCUUUUUUACAUUAACAAUGUAUACGUGAUCAGUGUUAUAUAAAUUUUAAAUUUAAUUUUUACAGACAUAUCAUGAAUCUAAUAUUGAUAGCAUAUACGCUAUCAGUGUACGGAGGAUUUAUUUAAAAAAAAUUAAAAAAGAAAAAGAGAGAGGCUUGUGAAUGACAGAAUACGAGCGUCACGAAGCACGUGACGAGAAGAAUCAAUUGACGUAGCGUGGGAUCAUCUUGGAACGAUCUAAAGGCGGCAACCAGUGUGGCGGUGCCACGCAGUACCAUGUGACGUGUCACCUGGGAGAAAGAAACACCCUCUCCCGCUCAUUUUCUGGAAAGCGAGCUGGUCCAACUCCAACCACGCCUCCUACAAAGAUAACCACUUCUCGCCGGAUCUGCCUGUGAUUCCUCCUCUAAAACAGGGGAUUAUUCGGAAUAAUCUUUUUUAAGAAAAUGCUAAAGUACUUUUUGAUAUAAAGUAAAUUAUUCGGAUGCUUACUGAACUUUUGAAACAGUUGAAUUUUGAUCAUUGAACUAUUAAAAAAUUAAUUUUGGCUGUUAAAUUAUCUAAAGUUUAAAUCUCGGAUCAUUAUAUUAAAUUUAAUCAUUAAUUAUGUCCUUUUUUUUUUGUCUCGUGAAUCAUGCAAGCACUUAAAUCUGUUAUGUCUAAUGAUUAAAUUUAACAGAAUGAUCAGAAAUCUAAACUUUAAAUAGUUCGAUGGGCAAAAUCAGAUUUUCAAUAGUUCAACAGUUAAAAUUCGACGAUUCUAAAAAGUUUAAUGACCAUCCAGAUAAUUUGCUUUUUGAUAUAUUACAUGGAGACAAAAAUAUGAUUAAAAAAUAUAUUUAUGAUGUAAGUAAAUAAGUUUGUAUAAAUAAUAAACUAUCCAAAUAAAUCCAAACGGCUAUUUUAAAUAAAUAAAUUUGUGCAAAUAAAAUGUAUUUAUUUCCAUUCAUUUUGUUCCGCUAUUUCAGCCCUUGUCACCAGCUAUUCUAUCAAUAUCUCCAUUCCAAACACCCCUGCUCCUCACCCAAAAUCACAUAAACAUAGAGUAUUGUUUAAAAUAUUAUUUAGAUCAAUUAUUAAUAUUUUCUUGUGAUAUGAUGUGCUAUUUCCAUUCCGUUGAUAGUCUCAUGUUACUUUUUUUUUUUUUUUUUUGAAUUGUCUAAACAUGUUUGUCACUUAUGCAAUAUAACAAAAAAAUAUUCUUUGAUUACCCAGUUUACCCUUUGAGUGUUGUCACGCUCGAUUUUGGAUAUCUUCUUACACAUAGGAAGACACUAAAAAAUCUGUUUCAUUGAAUGUGUCUACCAAGGGUAAAGUGGGAAAUAAGCAACAUAUGGCCUCAACUUUUGCUACUACACAUUUAUUAAAAAAAAAAAAUUUCCACUAAGAACACAAGCAACGCUAUUAUUAUUAUUUUUUUUUUUUUGCAUGACGAAAAGAGCUUCUAGUUGGUAAAAAACCGAAACAUCAAAAUUGUUUUUAAUGAAAUAGCCAACUUAGUGACUUACCAAAGGAAAAAAUUAUUCAUGUAAGCAGUAUUACAGCAUACUUUGUCUAAAUUUUAGUGAUGAUAAUAAGAGAUCAAGCUAAUAACAGGAAUAGAAAACGUGAUUGAGAAUGAUUAAAAGUAAAGAUAUGAUUUGAUUGACAUAAAAAUAAAAAAUGUACAAUUAAUACAAACUUAUAUAUGGCAGGUCAUUAAUAGAUUGGAUUAAGUUGACUAUAAAUAAGGAAUUGUGAAAAGGACUAUAAUUAAUUGUAAGCCAAAAAAAAUGAAGGAGUAAAAUCCACAAAGAUAUAAAGUGACACACUUUUUUCUUGCAAAAUAAUUUGCCACUUGGUGUGAAGAUAAAAUAAUUCUGUCUACUUGAUAGAAUAUAGAAAUUAAUGGCCAAGUUAGUAGCCUACCAAAAUCGGAAUUGAACAUUGCUCUCUCUCUCUCUCCCUCUCUAUAUAUAUAUAUGUGUGCGUGUGUGAUACUUGAAAAAAUGUGUUUAUGAUAUAAACAAAAUAAUAUUUGAAAUUUCUUUUGUAUCUAUUAAUUAUAUCUUUUUUGCUGCAACUAAUUAGUUUAUGGCCGAUCAAAUUGUUGCUGCUAGUUUCUACUUCUAUUGUGCGUAUCCUAAUUUCACUUAGCCACGCACAAAAGAAAUGAAUAAUGACUUUGCCCGGGUUAUGACAAAAUUCACUUUCCAACUUUAUUUGCAUAGCAACUACAAAACGAAUACACAGAAAAGUUUUUCCAUGUCGAGUUUAUUGAUUUAGAUGAUUCAAUGCACUCUAAUAAGAAACAGAAUGGGUAAUUCCACUUACUUUACGGCCAAGAAUAGUAAAGAAUAAUCAAUAAUAUAUAGUGAUUGCGUACAAAAGACUUGGCAGCUCUUCCAUUGUGGAUUUCCUAAAAGAGUCUUGUUGAAUCAUACCAUGGUUUCUGUGGUUGACCUGUGGAGAAGAGUCUGCAAAUAUGGCUUAAAGAACCUUUCUUUGCUUUAUCUGAGCUUAUUUGGUCCAUAUAGAUGAAGUUUAGAAUGAAGGAACGACAUUGUGGAAAGAAUGGAGAAAAAAAAAAAAGAAAAAGAAAAGGGAAACAAGGGGAAGUGGUUAUAAUAAGUACUACUAAAGUUAUGGCGGUGCAAGGAAGUGAAAGUUGGCAGGAAUUAAUAGAUUAAGACUAAGUGAAAUUUUGUUGAUGUGGCCAGCCUAGAUUGGUAAGUGUACUUGAUCAAGGGGAUCACCUUGAUACACCUUUUUUAUUGAUUUAGAUGAUUAAAAGCAAUCUAAUAAGAAACGGAAUGGGUAAUUCCACUUACUUUCGGGCCAAGAAUGCACACAAAAGACUUGGCAGUUUUUACAUUGUAGAUUUCCUAAAAUCCGAGAUAAACCCUUUUUGCCUCAGCUUGUUUUAUCUCGGUCCUGGCCCUGGUCCCGGUCCUAGGUACGUACAUGGCGUAGGAAUAGUGGUGUGUUUUGUUGUACAUUAAUUAUAAAGAGUCUUCUCUAUCUUUGAUGAAACUUUUCCCCUUGGGCCUUGACUGCCAUCACCACCAUAUUCUUUCUUUCUUUGAGCUGAAGUUUUGAGGUCUUUAUCAUAUUGUUAUCUAGUUACCCUUUUUGCGCGUUACAACUGUAGUUUGAUCACCUUUUUCCUGUAAAUCUGUUUCUAGAUUUAGGGGAACAGAUGGAAGAAUUGUGGAGGCAUAAGAGGAGAAGCGGUGGAGGUAGACAUUGCUUCCCGCGUUUUCCAUCUGCAAUCCUGAAUUAACUCAUGCGUGCAAGCUAUUCUUUGUAAUCUCAAGUAAUCCCUCUUCAGCCACUACAUUUUUCUUGGUCCUAAACGGUUUUAAUUCUCUUUAAGCUUCUUCAUUUCUCAUCAGCCCCUGGCCUUUACUCUAUCUCUAUCUCACCUUCCUUUUCACGUAUCACUUUCCUCUUUAGUAGUAUAAAUUAAGUUUCAAAACAUCCCCAGUAUCAGAUAAUUAUCCAAUCAACAUUGUUUUCUCUCGACUAUCUGCUUUUGCCGUAACCUAUAGACUUAGUCGUCUUCAACCUCGAAACAACUAAAAAGACUCGAUCUUUCGUGUAUAUUCAGUACCCAAUCCAAUUUGCUGUUUCUUCAACAGUUUCUAUCAAGUAAGAAUCCCUCAUUAGUAAAGUUUCUUCCUCACCCUUCCCCCCUCUUGCAUUUUCAGGACUGCUUGCUGAUUUUCGUGGAGGUUGUUGCAUCUGGGCUGCCAAUGAUUUACUUAAUCUUCAAUCCCAUAUAUCAAAGCUUCUUAGAAUUUGGGUGCUGAAGAUUGAAGCAAAGAUUUAAACUUUCUGUUUGCGUUAGCUUUUAACAAUCAAAUUGAAGGGAUUUUUUGAGCAAGGAAUUAAGGGAAGAAUUUUAAGUUGGUUUCCUUGUUUUUGCUUAGAUCUGAAUUUGGAGGCCAUGGGAAGUCAUAUGAGUAAGAAGCCUGGUGAAAGUUCAUCUGCAAUUAGCAACAUUCAAUUCACGACUGAGCUUAAUUCAUAUGAAGCCGCUUGUAAGAUGGAUGAGGGUUUGCAGUCCUUUGACACAAGUCUCCAUGCUAGAACAAACCAUGUUAUCAGUACUCUUGCUGCUGGCGUAGAAGUUAGGGCCGUCUCAUUUGAUUCUUUAAAGGAAGUCACUGGAUGCCUUCUGGACAUGAACCAGGAGGUUGUUAAGGUUAUCUUGGAGUGCAAGCAGGAUAUCUGGAAGAAUCAAGAAUUGUUUGAGCUUGUGGAGGAGUACUUCGAGAACAGUCUCAAAACUCUGGACUUCUGUGCUGCUUUAGAAAAGUGCCUAAAAAGAGCCAGGGACAGCCAAUUGCUUAUUAUGGUUGCUCUACAGCAAUUUGAAGAGGAGGAUGGAGUUGAAGGGAAUAGGUACAAUAGGACUUUGGAUGAGUUGAAGAACUUCAAGGCUGCCGGUGAUCCUUUCACCGAGGAAUUUUUCGAAAUUUUCCAGUCUGUGUAUAGGCAGCAAAUUCUGAUGCUUGAGAAGCUGCAAAUGCGAAAGAGUAAGCUUGAUAAAAAGCUCAAGUACAUCCAUGCUUGGAGAAAAUUGUCGAGCAUUAUCUUUGUUGCCACAUUUGCUGCUGUUCUUAUAUGUUCAGUCGUGGCUGCUGCUAUGGCUGCUCCUCCUGUUGCGGCCGCUCUUGCCGCUGCUACUUCCAUCCCACUGGGAUCAAUGGGGAAGUGGAUUGAUUCUCUUCUGCAGAGCUAUGAAAAUGCUGUCAAAGGACAGAAGGAGAUCAUGAGCUCAAUCCAUGUGGGCACUUAUGUCACCAUCAAGGAUCUGGACAACAUCCGAGUGCUGAUUGACAGGUUGGAAAUCGAUAUCGAGUCACUCCUGGCAAAUGUUGAUUUUGCUAUUAGUGAAGAUGCUGUGAAGCUUGGCAUAGAAGAGAUCAGGAAGAAGCUCGAUGUAUUUAUGAAGAAUGUCGAGGAUUUAGGGGUGCAAGCUGAUGUUUGCAGCCGGGAUAUUCGCAGGGCCAGGACUGUUGUUCUCCAGAGGAUCAUCAAGAAUCCCAACCAUUGAGUGAAAGAAGUGAGUGCCCAUCUUCAUUGCUACUGCUAUGUUCCCAAUGCGGUUCAACCUUUCGCUGACACGCUGAUGAUUGUCAAUCUUAUUAUUAUGUAUUAUCUAGCCUCUGUCUUUAAAUUCAAACUUUCCUCCUCCGCAUUGCUGAUAAGGGCUAGUGAUUCAUUCAUUAUCAUGUUAAUCUGCUAGAAGUUUGUUCAUUCUUUAUGUAAUUACGGUUCCACAAAGCUCAUUAUUGCGUUUUUCCUCGAGAAUUUGAUGUUUCUGCUUUGGCCUCAUCGUUCUUUCUUUUUUUAUAUGUAAUGAGUUUAGGCCAAGGACGUCGUUACUUUUGAAAUUAGGAUCUUUCAAAUUCUAUCACUGCUACGGACGCACUGACUUUUAGGCAUCUUAGAUUCUAAUCAACAUCAAGAAGUUAAAAGCAUCAUAAUGGACGUUUCUGCUGUGGCAAUCACACCAUUUUUCGGUCGAUCUCAAUCAGCUGAUUGCAAGGUCGACCAAAACUUUGAUUGAUCUAAGCCGUUGAUCUUCAUAUAACCUGGGGUUCAUGUUGCAGUUUAUUCGUAAAAAAUAUGCCACCACAGCUUCUUUGAUCUUCUAAGUGGUUGUUUUCUUUGGGUUAAACAAGAGGUGGAGUCGUCUGAAAACGACUAAUUCAGCAUCAAACGAGGUUCCUAGCAAUUGGACUACUAUUGCUAGGCUUCUUCCAGAGCCUUUUUUCUUUGCUCUUUUUGGUUUGGGGGCUGGGGAGGGGUAUUCUUCUCGGAUGCAACUGGUGUUGUCUCCUGUCUACAACCAGGUUAGUUAAAGACAACGUCAUGAGAUAAUGUAUAUAUAAUCUGCCUCUAGUCUUGGCUGAAGUUAGAAGUAGAGGACUAGGUCGUGCUUCUUUCCGCGUCCGUGGUUCAAUCUUUCAGUCUCAGUUUGGGCAACCACGCCAACUUCAGUAUGUGGUUUGAUAAUCUGUCAUUUAGGGUGCAACCCAACACAACGCCCCUUGAGUCUCCUGGCUAGUGACUGUACGCGAAUGAUCCUGAGUAAAAGUCAGAUAAUAAUAAUACUGCAAAAUUGCAAAUGCAGGAAUGUGCCCUCAAAGAAUGAAACUGAUGCAGCAACAUAGGAUCUGCUCCUGUCAUCGAGUGAAAUGUUGCUCGUUUUGUGAAAAUCCCACUAAUCUUUUCAUUCUGGGUAAAAUGUUGUGACAUAAUCACCUAAAGACUGUUGUCAUCAACCAAGAGUGUUGAUGAAUUAUAACAGUUUGGCAGGGGAAGGAUGAAAAGUUGCGACACCAUUCUCAAACGCCUGAUUUGUGUUGCCAUCUUUCCUUGCAAAAUUCCUGAGCAUCGGCUAUUAGGUUGGUUCCCACUGGCUGAACUCCUCACCUGUAUUCAUUAGAGGAAGGGAUAAUUUCAGAAACCUCCCCCGAGGUUUCUGACAAUUUCACAAACCUCCCUGAAAUUAAGGUUUUGAUAACAAAAUUAGUCCAAUUAGAAAAAGUAACAUUAAAAAAUAUUUUAAGGAGAGAGAUGAAAUUUUGAUUCUAUAAAUACCCCUUAUGCAUGUAUUUAAAUUGUAUUAGUAAAAAACAAAAAUAAUUAAAAAUUAAAAACAAUUAAGGUUUUGAUAACAAAAUUAGUCCAAUUAGAAAAAGUAACAUUAAAAAGUAUUUUAAGGAGAGAGAUGAAAUUUUGAUUCCAUAAAUAUCCCUUAUGCAUGUAUUUGAUUCUAUAAAUACCCCUUAUGCAUGUAUUUAAAUUGUAUUAGUAAAAAAUAAAAAUAAUUAAAAAUUAAAAACAAUUAAGGUUUUGAUAACAAAAUUAGUCCAAUUAGAAAAAGUAACAUUAAAAAGUAUUUUAAGGAGAGAGAUGAAAUUUUGAUUCCAUAAAUAUCCCUUAUGCAUGUAUUUAAAUUGUAUUAGUAAAAAAUAAAAAUAAUUAAAAGUUAAAAACAAUUAAUACACACAUUUCACCACUCAAAAUGUUCGUAUUUAAUAAAUUAGACAACAAAAAUUUGUAAUAAGACUACACUAAUUAUCACAAGAUUCAGCAAAACAGACAAGUCAUCUCUUUUAACAUGAUAUUCGCUAUGAUUCUUAUAAUUUUGAACAGAAAAAUUUUAAAAUUUUGCCUUUCUUUUCCCUCCUUUCUCCAUUAGGUAUAUCAAUUGAUGUUAUUUUAUAAAUACAAGUCAUUGUUCAUUAUUAAAGAAAUUUUCAACAGUUAUUUUUGUUAAUUAAUUACUAAUAGUUAAUUAGUACUCUAAUUACUUAAUUGUUAGAUAUUAGUAAAGGAGAAUGGAGGGAAAAAAAAAGACAAAUUUCAAAAUUAUCCCUUAGAGGAAUCUUACGGAUCACACGGAUAUCUAAUUUAAUUACUUUAAUAAAUUAAUCUAGUCAAGUUUUAUUUUCUUGAUGCCAAGUUAUCCAAUUUAAGAAUUUCACAAGAGUAAUGUUAAACUUUCUUGGGGAUUUUUUUUUGUUGUUUGGGAGGGGGUGGGGGAGUUGUAAGGCGGGCCUGUGGCCCGCCCAUCACAUGAAAAUUUCAGAUAAUUUCUCGGCAGAAUUUAACAAUUUUGCUUAAACACCCCAAAGUUUUCCACCCUCUGUUUCAGUUUCAAUAUAAUAAGGUUAGUCCGUCUGCAUGCAAUUUCACCCAAAAAAAAAAAAAAAGAGAGCAAAAACACAAGGCACCUAUCCUCCCUUAGUGAAGAGUUGUGCUAAUUAGCACCAUUAUCGCUAGAAGAAGAUUUUAACCAAAUAAGCAUACCAAGAAUCUCCCAUGUAGAGUUUAUAUUGACUUAUUCAUCUGUCUGUUGGGUGGAGGCUGAACCCCAUAUUACAUGAAAGUAUUUCGGAGAGGGUAACACCCCUCAACUCUUCUGCUCAUAAUAUCAUAAUGGCCUAACCAAAUCUUGAAGUUUCUCAAAUAUACAGAUGGUAUAAGAGAGAAUUUACAAAGCCACAAUAGGCCUAGGCCUGAUAUUAAAGUAAGUUGCUGAUGCCAGAUAUGCACAGGCUAAGGAAACGUACAUUUUGAACCAGAUAGAAGAGAAAAAGGUUAAGAAUGUACAGACACCUGUCAAGGCAAUUACGAAUGUACAGUUCACCAGACACUUCACCAUAGAAAGGUCGCCUUCUAUCCCUUCACGUGGAAAAUGACCUUUCGAAUGAAAAUCCGAGAGCAGCUGAUCCUUGAGGCUGAAUGUUUCCAUCAACCACGAAGUUACCUGCUCUUCAGAUAUCGGGAUGUCAUUAACAUCAACACGGCGUACAUGAAUGUGAACCUCAGCAGGGUCGACACCAAAAGCAUUGUCCAAGAAAGUUGGACAACGUUGUUUAUAACCAAUUGUAAUGUCAUAAACUGCCAUCAUAUUAGCAUACUGCGGCAAGUCAAGCAUCAAGAAUAUGGAAAAUAACAGCAGGACAAAAGAAACCACAUAAAAAAACUACAAAGCGCAAGAUGAUAAGGACUUCAUUUGGUGUAUUACUUACUCUUAACAACUGUAGGGGAAAAAAAGCACACUUAUUUACAGUUUCAAGAGUUCAGGUACAUUGUCCUCGGUCAUAAUUCUGAUAAUUAGAUCGGAAGUUGUAGUAGCAACUUCAUCAUGUUUUGCAAAAUUGACCAGGUAAUACUUUAGCUGUUUUGUUAGGAAUCACGCUAAGAAACUAGCUCAAUCCAGUCACAAGUUAUUUAUGCUGAUCAAGCGACAAAGUGCAAUGAACAGAUGAAAACAGAGAGCUCGUUGUGAGACUGCAGAGCAUGUUGAGAAGGCAAAUAACAAAAGGAACUGAGAACCAACUAAAACUUCUGGACAUAACAAAACUCCUUACUCAUCUUCCAAUUUACACAUCUUGUUGCUUAACAUAAGUACAGGAAUUUGGCAUCUUUUAUGGCUCUUAGAAACGAAGACAACAGGAUACAACUUUGGCAAGAUAGCAAGAGAUUUAAUUCUGUCAGCAUCCAAUAUAACGUAGCAAGAGUUAUGACUUCUCUUUGCACAAAAUCAUUGGGUUUGUUUGGACAACAAGAAUUUGAGGUAAAAAUUUCAGAUUUUGUUUUGCUUGCAUCAUACACACAAUUCCCAAUCACUUUUUUAUCUCACAUACAUCACAUCACACAAUGUGCUACAGUAACUAAACCAAAUAAAUCAUCCAAAUAAAUUCUUAUCCAAACAAACUCAUUAUGUCUCAAGUUUGAUUCAUGAUAUUUGUUAAACUGCUAAGAGUAAUGACCCUUAGUUUUUCAUACCUAAUAGUUGCGGGACUCUCUGUAGACAUUUCUCCCUUUGGAAGGGUCAAACAGGAAUGACCAUAGAGAGGCUACCAUUUUGUUUCCCAGAAUUCUAUCAGUAAAUUGGGUAUUGGGAAGGAAGGAGGGGGGGGGGCGUGGUGGGGAUGAUAGCCUAAGAUUAAGAAUGUAAGAAGAAGAAAAUGGAAGGCAGGCUGGGGAAAGGAGAAAUGCAUUUUAAUCUCUGGGAGUACUAUUGAGAGGUACAAAUGACAAUGAUGGCAUCACUGCAGUAGGAAAGAAACUUCCCAUUUUCCGAGACAGAAAAUAAUUCAAAAACAAAACCCUGCAAAUCUCCUUUAACUAUUUUCAGACACAGCAACUGCGAUUGUACCCAAAUGUGAACCAUCAAAGGAUGAAAGGAUUACAUCAUCAAAUCUUUAACAACAUGGAUCAGAGUGCUAUGUAAACAUGCACGGUUUCCAAAUGUAUUUCUUACACCAGCCAUGUAGGAGGUUAAACUAACCAACCGUGUUUGAUGCACCAUCAUGCCAAAAAAAGUUUCAAGUCUUGAGAUUAAAGGAUGAAACUUUGAAUCAAAUUAAUGCUGAUCCAAGGAAAGCCGCACAGAAAGGACAGAGAAAUAACCUGCAUCCAUCGAGCCCCUCAAAGACUCUAACGAGGCAAAAAAGCCCUUGGAUUUUGGAAGCAGCACAUUCUUUAGGAUCGGAAAUCCUUUUUCGGCAGCAUACUUUUGACUGCGUUGGCACUUCUCUUCUCUGCAUUAAAUUAAUUAAAGAAAAAAAACCAUCAGAAAGGAUCAGUCAUAUGGAAGGACCAUUUUUGGUCACGAAUAAUUAAAUGAUAAUAAAUUUUGAUACUGCUGGGAAUAAUUUCUUGAAGCAGAAUAUGUACUUAAAAAUAUACGGGCGCAAAAGCUUUUUUGAGUGCUGCUUUAUCUUCAAGUCAUUAUGCACAAAGCUAUGGGCUUCAGGGGAAAACCAAAUCAUUGUUGAAAACAUGAUUAUGCUGACAAUUACACUACAAAUCAUUUCUUUAGGGAGUAAAAAUGAAAAUAAAACAAUGUCUGGUCAUCAAUUUUACAAGGAAGAGGCAAUAGUACGUGAAAUCUGUGCCUUCAGGAAAAACAGCAAGCCAGAGUGGAUCUUGAGGAUCUUUGAAAGUUGAAAGCAUCUUAUACAUAACUGCUUCAUCAGCCUCCCAUCUUCUCUCCACUGGAAUGAACUCCACGACAUGAAAUAUCCAACCAAAUACAGGCAAUUUCAUCAAACUGCUCUUAAGAACGUAUUUAAUGUAACCAUGACAUCCCUUUCGCAGUGCAAGGUCCCACAAGUACAUCCAAUCAACCUCGGUCCGAUGGUUCGCAAUAAGCAAGACACGUUCCCUUGCUGCAACACAGUCCCCUGAGAACACCACUUUAGUCUUGUUUAUUUUUUCAAACAGAAAAGGCCACAAAGCAAUCCAGCUUCCCAGAAAGAAUGAUGUUGCUGUCCUGCUGUAAUGUAAGCUGAAAAAUCUUAAGACAACAGCUGUCCAAAAACCACAAAACACCAACAGCAUAAAUGCUGUCAAAACUAACACAACCAAACACAAAACACCUCUAAACGCUUUCCAUGGAGUUAAAGGACGGUGCCUUGGUCCAUUUCUUGAAUUAACCGAUGUACACACUUCCAUCUAAUAAGUUCAAAUAUCCACCAAACAAUUGGAUUCCUUAAUCAAAAAAAUUUUCUGAAAAAAUGUCCCAAAGAGCAACACAACCCAGAAAGAAUUAGCAUCAAUAAGUUCACCGUCAUAAAGUUAGUUGUGAUGUGUCAUCAAACAAAAGCUUCAGCUUUCCAAGAUCAGAAAAUCCAGCACCACACAAAUGCUUAGUUCAGGACUCUACGGCAUGACUGGCGUAAUGGCAGGUGAUAUAUUCGAUCUGCAAAAUCAAAAUUGGAAGAUCAAUCGCGGAACAUCCUUUUCAACAUAACCAAGCAACAACCAAGAACUUCUGUAUGGAAAAGUUGCUAUUAAACUGAAGAAAGCCUACAUACGGGUUAUAUCUAACAUUGGUUGUAGACUUGGGAGAUCAAAGGUACAUUAACAUGCUAGAAAGAUAAAGCAUGAAGAUAUGUGUGAUACUUCACAAAUAACUCUUGGACGAGCUAAUUAAUAAUCCAUUUGUCCAUUCAUUAGAAAUAAGAUGAAGCAUAGGUUUGUUGGAUAUUGUAAUUACUACCACUUGUCUUUUCCUUUAGAGCAUAAUCAACAGAAAGUUCAUCAAGGUGAAUGAGGUUGAAGAUUAUCAGAUAGAUUUGGUAUGAAAGCUUGUUUUCUCUGGUUUUAUUUUCUCCAGUUAGACUAGGAAUAAGAUUUUAAGGAAUCAAUCACAGGCACUCACGGGUGCAGAAUACAAAUAUACAACGUGAAAAUAAGUUCCACAAAUUACAGAAUAAAUAAUAUUGCACCAACUUUACAUCAGGAAAUACGAGUAGUACCAAAGUUAAAUCAGCUGACGAGUCAAUUAUCAGUUGCCAGAAAGAAAAGCCAGUUCCACAAAUUACAGAGUAAAUUUUAAUAUUGAACCUAGUUUUGCAACAGGAAAUACUAGUUCAACCAAAGUUAAAAAGCUAAUUACUCAAUUAUUAGUUGCUUGGUCAAUUAUCAAUCGGGGCCCAUAAAGCUAAAACCAACAACUUUUCUCUGACACAAGUGUUUGUCCUCGAAGAAUACAAGAUAACAUAUUCUUGAUCAGUAUAGGGUUCUUCUGACCAAUAAUCUCAAAAUUAAACAAGAUUAUCACUUUCCAGAUUAAUAUCCAAUCCGAUUGCAUUUUAUGAACAGUCAGCCCAAGCCUCAUUAACCAAUAAUAGUAACCUACAGCAGAAAAAGCCCGGAUGAUUACAACUCAAAUUACAGAGUUAACUAAAUUGAGUACUACCAAACAUACGUUUUUUUCGUCUUGAGCUACUGAUCUCGAAUCAGAAAAAUCACAACAACAGCGCUAUAGACCGGAGCACAACUUGGAUAAACAAGGGAAAGAAGAAGUUUACCUUAAUUCUUAUCCUAAAUGGAGGACUUUCGACUUGAUGAUAUCCAGGAUGGGGCAUUUAACGAUCGAAAACAGUCCAUCUGCUUUGGUUGGGAUUGGAAUGCAACUUUUGCCAGAGCUUCUUGGAGGAGUCUCAACGGUUUGAAGAUGACGAGUUCUUGCGACUUGUGAGGAGUACGGAGGAGUGUUGGACCAAGCUCUUGUAAAACUGAAGUAGCGGGCCGCAGUGGCAGGGGUAUGCUUCUAAACUCACAGCUAGGGACUUGCAAGUUAUCAAGACUUACAAUGAACGCCCUCGCCAAUACAUGCUGACCCUUAGAACAUUGAGUAGCGACAAAAGACCAGUCGUGGACUGCUGUUGUAACGUUGAUGGCUGUUGGACGGAUACUGACUUCAAUCAACCAACGCCAACCCAAGUUGAUUGAGUUGGCAAAGUGAAUCACUUUUUGACAGAAUAAUUUGAAGGUUGUUUUGAUGGACGAUUUGUAAAAAAAAUCUCUUAUAAAUUCCAGAACCCUGAUUUGACCUGCUAAUGUGAGUGUAGCACCGUGAAUGAUUUGUAACAACUUUAUAACAUAUCCUGAUCAGUGAUAUUAAACAGAAUUGUAUUCAUCUAAACAUUUUUUUUUUACCAGAAAAAGGAGAUUUCAAUCAACCGAAUUCUGUCAAGAUCCAAAAUUUUCCUCCAGGAGGGAAUGAAGAAUUGGGUGUGUGUGGAUUGGCAUUAUUUGUUUAUAUUAUAAACUCAUUUAUUCAACCUAUCUUUUUUUCUUUUCAAUAGUAUUUUUAUCUUAUAUGCGUUACAUCACAUGAAAGUUUGGGUUUGAAUUUACUUUUUUGGAUCCGUAAGGGUUUGGUUAUAGGUUUGGAUCUAACUAAAUUUAAUAGGUUUAAACCUGGAUUAAAUGAAUCAAAUCUAAAAUCUACCCAUUGACAUGUCUACUUGUGACCCUUUAUUUGUGAUUUCUUUUUUUUUUUUUUUGGCUUUUCUCUACACACGAUACAAACUGUUUAUAUUUUGUUAUUGAAAUGCUAAAAUUCUAAAAUAUACGUCAAUGGUUUUUAUAACAAAUGAUGGGCUUCCCAAAAUAAAUAGAAAAGGUUAUGUAAAAUUGUGCAACGUUAGUACUAGAAAUGACAAUAGGCUGAGUUUGGGGUUGGAGACUUGGAGGAGCCUUGCCCUGUCCCCACCCCAUUCACAUUGUCAUAUAACUCUCCCCGUCUCUACUCCCGGCUACAUCUCACUUUCCUGCAAGUGUCCAUGGAGGCACCUUUUUUCCCUCUUUUGAAUCAUUUCUUGAGGGAUAAGAGGUUUGUAGAUGAAUAUGGUGCAUUUAUGAAGGGAUUCUCAAAAAGAAUCAUCUCUAGUUAGAGUGCUUGUUUGUACGUUGAUGGCUGGACUAUUAGAAACUGGAGGAAAUAAUUAUGAAAAAACUCGAAACUUCAGGCAGACCUCUCUGUAACUAUCAUUUGAGCAUUUUUGUGUGAUUGAAACAAAUAUCGAACUUUUCUAUUUGGAUUCAGGAGAUGGAGCAAAAGCUUAAAGAAAUAAAUAGAGAGAGUGAAGAAGAAAUGCAUUCCGUCGGAAAAUUACGUUGUUUUCCGCGAUCACAUUUUCCUAUUAUCUUUUUCCCUCACAUACAUCUAAUCGCUACAGUAUUUUUUCCAUGAAAAAUCAUGAAAAAUGCAAUUCAAACACAACCUAAGAGAAGCGACUUUGAAGAACAAAACAUGCUUAUGGCUGUUGAAUUCUCUUCACAUAGCUAUUGAUUAGAUUAGUUUCAUAGCCCAUAUGAAAAAUAGCAAACAUUAGUAUUGUUAUUAGGAAAAUUAGUACUACUAAUGUUUAACGUAACGAAACACAAAAAAAAAGAGUUUAACAUAGAAAAUAUAGAUAUAUUAAUUAUUAUAUAUAUAUAUAUUUAGUUAAUACUAGAGACGGGGCGAGGGAUGGGAAGAAAAGUUCCCUCUCUCUCGCCCCACCCGUCUCAUGCCUCCAUGUUGGUCAUUCGCUUUCGUUGCCAUCCUAAGAUUCACCCCUAAACUAGUUUCCUUUUCCUUUCUUUCUUUACUAGAAAGAAAUUGGACUAAAAGCCAAUUGCAUGUCACUUGAGUAGAAAAGUUGCUGCCGAAAGGUAUAGAAAACCUCUCUGAUGCAGUUGGGAUUCUCUAUGGCACUAUUCGGUGUCAAAUCCAGUGUCAAUCCUAUUUAUCACGUGAUGAUAGAAGAAGUUUAAAUAAAUAACACAUGACAAAUUAAAUAAACAGAACAUUUGGCAUAAAUGUAAAAGUGACACUGAAUUAUUACUGAAAAAGUGACACUGAAGAUCUCGUGUGUCUUUGAUGGGCCUAAAUCCAGACACUUACCAAUAAAGAAUAAAUGGGAGGAAGCGGUUAUUUAUACCUAGUUUAACCAGUAGAAAUGUCGUUAGCACAAAAAAUAAAAAAUUCUUGUUGUCCAUGUACGGAUUGUAUUGAUGGUUAAUUUGUAAUUACAAUCAAUAAAGGGAAAAUCAUUCAAAACGUCAUUCACAUUUUACAAAAUGACUUUUUUCGUCUCUCACUUUUAAAAGUGUAAUUUUACGUCUCUUAUAAAUUCACAUUGACCAAAUUUGGUCCCUACCUAGGUUUUUGACUAGUUUUUUGUCAAAAUCCACCACGUGACUUGUAUGUGAUCAUUUUUAAGGGCAAAAUUAUCAAAUCAAUUUUUUACAUAAUUUGAUUUAUAGUCCCUCACAUUUCACGAAAUGAAUUUUUUCAUUCCUAACAUUUUAUAAAAUGAAUUGUUUCGUUCCUCGCAUUUCAAAAAAUGAAAUUUUCCAUCCCUCACUUUUUCAAAAUAAUUUUUUUUAUCCCUCAUUGAUCAUGUGUAUGAAUAGCUUUUUUUUUUUUUUUUCUAUAAACCCACGUAUAUGUCUAUUUGAUUUUAUCUAAACAGUAUGAAUAACAUGUAAUUUAUUUCUAUUGAAUUUCAUCUAAACAUACUUAUCGUAGUUAUACACAUACUAUUCAAUAAAUAUAUAUAGGAGUUUAAAACUAAUAAUUUUGUUUGAAAUCCAUGUAUAUAUUUAUAUGAUUUCACCAUUUGAAUCUAUUCAAUAUUUGUGACAUUUCUCUUUUGGUAAUAAUUUAUUUAUUGAAUUGUAUAAUAAGGUCAUCCAAUUAAUGGGUCCUAACUUGAAUUCUAUAAUUAUGCUAACAAAUUUCAUUUUAAAUAUGAAAUUUCUACUCGACACAUUUAAGACCAACAGUUGAAUUAUUACUUGCCUUGUGAUUGUUUUAAAAUUUAAAAAUGCCAAUCACUUAUUUCUUUUUGUCAUAAUUUUCUUUUAUUUAUUUUUCUGUUCAAAUUUAAUUCGAUAUAAACACUCGAUAAUAUUUAGAAUUAAAUGUCUUCUUUAUUUUCAAAAUUCGAGUAAAAAAAUGAAUAUAAGUAAAUAACCAACAAUUUUUUUAAACCCAUGUAUAUAUCUAUUUGAUUUCACUUGAAUAGUACGAAUAGUAUGUAAUAUAUCUCUAUUUGAUUUCACAUGCUAUUUGUACUGUUCAGGUGAAAUCAAAUAGAUAUAUACAUAGAUUUUAAAAAAAUUAUUCACACAUAUGAUCAAUAAAAAGAUGAAAAAAUUCAUUUUGAAAAAUGUGAACGAUGAAAAAAUUUAUUUGUGAAAUGUAAGGGAUGAAAAAAUUUAUUUUAUGAAAUGUGAGGGAUUAUGAAUCGAAUUAUAUAAAAUUUAAUUUGAUGAUUUUACCCUUAAAAUAUGAUCGCGUGCAAGACAUGUGAUGAAUUUCGACAAAAAAAUAGUCGGAAACCUAAGUAGGGACAAAAUUUGACCAAUGUGAAUUUGUAAGGGACGUAAAAUUAUAUUUUAAAAAGUAAGAAAUGAAAAAAGUUAUUUUGUAAAAUGUAAGGGACAUUUUGAACGAUUUUUCCAUUAAUAAAUAACUUAUAAGUUUCGAGAGCAAACUACAGCUCAUAGUCACGAAGUUAAAAUCAUUCAAAUUUUUUUCACAUAAGAAUAAUUAGUAGAAAUGUCAUGAAAUAUUUCCUUUUUUUUUGCUUUUACCAUCAAAUUUUCUUUCUCAUGGCCCUUUUCAUGCCUUUAAAGGUUAGUGGAAACUAGAAUAUUUUGAGAGGAAAACAAAAAGCUAUUUUACAUUUUUUAUUUAAACUACACCUACUUGAAGCUUAAAUUGAUUAUCUGGUAGGUUUGUUUGGAUAGAACAAUUAUUAUAUACAUUUUUUGGAAUAUUAGUGUAAUAAUUUUUUAUGAUUUGAUUUAUGUACGAUAAAAAUGUAAUUUAAAAAAAUAAUCGAAAAAUAUGUUUGUCAUAUAAGUGAAAAUAAAAAAUUUCCAAAUAAUUAGGUACGGUCAAUCUACUUGAAAUUUAUGUUUGAUUUGCAAGCAAUAUUAUGCUUCGAAUUAGUUGGUCAUUAUAAUCAAUUAGAGGUGGCAAAUUGGGCGGGAUGGACGGGAUUUGUUUGGGUUUAAGAUAGAACCGAGUCAUAUGGAUUUGGGUCCAAUCUUACCCAUAUGUGUUUUGGGACUAACUUGGGCGGGAUCACUUUGGGAUAGGUUUAGAUUGAUUCCGCCCAAUACCAAAAUCAAAUUUAUAUAUAUAUUUUUUCCUUUAAUUUAUUUUUUAUAUAACUUUAAUAAUUUUGAUUUAUUAAAUUUCAUUUAGUUUUAUUAAAUAAACAUGUAAGUGCUUUAUACUCAGGAUUUCCACCAAAAAUUGGAUUAACAAAUAAAAGAAAAGAUAGAUAUAAUACAGCCAUAUUCCAACAUAUAUCAAGAUGGCCAAGGCACUUAAGGUGUUGAAUAUUUAUCCUCAUCAUUGUCUAAGGAUGACAGGUCUAAACUGAUUGAAAUGCUGAAAAUUCUUGUGGAUAAUGAUUAGGAAGACUGUUAGAUUAUAUUCGCUGGUAUAACUAUAAAAAUUGUUAAAGAUAAUUUUUGAAUCUAAGACUCCGUUUGAAUUGGCUAUAUUUUCAAAAAACAAAAUUUUCAAAUACAAUGUCACAGUAAUAUACAAUAACUCAAAAAAAAUCUCAUCCAUAUUAGUAUAUCAAAUAUUUCAAAAAAAAAUUUUAUAGUAAAAAUUUUUCAUAUACACUAUGAUAAUAAAAUAUUUCAAAAAUACUACAAAAAACAGCUAAUCCAAACAGAGUCUUGCUAUUUGAGCUCAAUGGGUACUCAAGUAUUUUCCAAAAUUUUCCAUCAAUUAAUGGGUAUAAUUGGAAUUUGUCCUAUUUUAAACUCAAUAUCAAAUUCCAGUAUCUAUUCUGCCCAAAGUCCUUAUGGGCAUGGAUAAUCCAUUGAAACUUGGGACAAAUUGCUACCUCUGUUGUUCGGAACAAAAUCUAUUGUCAACUCUUUUUGUUGAAAUUUGCAUACUUCCUUUCUAAACAAAGAAAAAAUGAAAAUUGCGUUUGAGGUUUUACCCACAAAAAUUCGUUGAACUAAAUUGCACAAACAAUUUAUUUACAAGGCUAAAUAAGUGAACAUCCUUGCUACUGGACUCCACUCGACUCAACUAGACUCCGCGGAGCAGAUUGAUGAUACCCGUAAACUUAAAUUGGACCUCAAUUUGACUUUGGAAUGCAGAACAAGAAGAAGCAAAAGUAGGAAGACAAAACCAACAACGUGGAGAGAAAGCAAAAGAUUCCGGGCACCGUAAAACCCAGCUGGAGCGUCCCGGAGGGCUGAUCACAUAGCCCUAAAACCCUAAUACUUAUCGCGCUCAGCAAAACUAAAGUUCCAGCAAUUUACCAAUGGAUAUCGACUUCACAGAGUACAAACUAAGUUCCCAGCUCCGCGGCCACGAAGACGAUGUAGGAAUUUUCCCUGAAUCUUGAAAAAUUUUUCUAUGGAUAUCUGAAAAAAUUAACUGUGAUAUAGAUUAUUGAUAUUAAUUUGCUGGAUGUGCUAUGCUUUCAGGCUCGUGGGAUAUGCAUAUGUGACAAUGUCGGCAUUGCGACGUCGUCGAGAGAUAGAACGAUCAGGUUUUGGACUUUGGAUCAGUCCAACAAUAGGGAUUAUGCUCUAUCGAAGAUUCUAUUGGGACAUACGAGUUUUGUGGGGCCAUUGGCUUGGAUUCCACCGAGCGAUGAGUUCCCGGAGGGGGGACUCGUUUCUGGUGGGAUGGAUACGCUUGUUUUUGUCUGGAAUUUGGCAACUGGAGAGAAGGAACAUGUACUGAAGGGGCAUCAAUUGCAAGUCACUGGUGUCUCCUCGGAUGGCUCUGAUAUUGUCUCCACGUCCGUUGAUUGGUACUUGACAUACGUUCAGCAUUUUAUUAUGGUUUGAUGUGUCUUCAUUUUUUUCUCCUUCUUUCCUUUUUGAGGAACUCAUGACUGCUUAAGUUUGAAAAUGAUCAAUUGAAAGGUUGAAUAUGUAAUGCCAUGCGCUUGUGUUCGUCUAAUUGGUUUUGUUGAAUAAUCUCUAAAACAGCUAAUCCAAGCGAAGCCUAAGUAGCCUAUAAACAUUGGAUUUUUCCAUGUUCAAUGCCUCACAUAAGAGACAGGGAAAAAUAGAUUGCACAAUGAAAACAGUUUUUACAUGGCAUAUGGACGUGAAAUGAUGUAAAAAUGUCCCUCAGCUGUUAUUUGGACCAUCUAUUUUAAUUUAAGCAUCAGGAAUUUUUCCAAAAAUUCAAUGUUGCAUACUUCUAUUGAUCCUGAUGGCAAAUAUAUAUACUAAAAGUACAUAUAGCCAAAAAAAAUUAAUAAAUGGAAGAGCAAAUAUAGAUGUGCAGAAGAUUGAGUACUUGGUUUUAUUUAAGAGAGAGAGAGAGAGACCAUUGUCAUUUAUUUCACUUGCGUGUUCAUACUUCUUUAAACAUUGUUGAAGUAAAAAAGACUCUUGUUUAAACUAACUAGAAGAUGAGAAUAUUUUCUUUGGAAGGCUAGGACCUGUUUGACAUCGAGUAUGAUAUCUGAUUUUCUGCUUUCAUCAUCUCAGCACACUAAGAAGAUGGAAGAAAGGCCAACUAGUUGAGGUUUGGGAAGCACAUAAAGCAGCAGUCCAAGCGGUUAUUAAGUUGCCCUCCGGCGAGCUUGUUACAGGUGCAGAUGUCAUAUUUAUGUUAUCAAAAUUUUCUAGAAGUACCAAUUUUCACUCUCUGCACUGUUAGGAUACUAAAUGUCUGAUAAUAGAAUUUCUUCCCCUAAUUACAAUGUGAGUGGUUGAUAAAUAAUGUUUGCUAUGGUACUCAGGUUCAAGUGACAUGACCUUAAAGCUGUGGAAAGGGAGGAGCUGUGUGCACACUUAUGUGGGACAUACAGGUUAAUGUUGGCCUUCUUUUUGUACAUCCUCCCAGCUCGUAUACUUGAAUAUAUGAACAUUCAUGUUCUUUAGCUGUAGUACUUGUUCUUUUUUUCAUCUUGUUUUCUGCUUAAUGGACGCUUGUGCUCUCCUUCCUCACUCUAUCUCAAUAUGAAUAUUUCUACUGGAUCAUUUAAACGACUCCUUAUUUUUUGGUCACUGUUUACUUUUUGGUCAAACUUUUUGGUUUUUUGGCUUGAUAAUCAUACCUAGGAAUAUAGGUUAUUCUAGGUAAACAAAGAGGCCAAAUUUUGAGAAAGCGAGCAUUGAGGCUAAGGGAUAAGUUACCCUCUGACAGAAAUUGAGAUCCAUUCAAGUGCAUGGAGCAUGACAGUUAUAUGAUAGUUCAUAAGUUGGAAGCUGACUGUCAUUGCUGAUAUGUGAAAAAUAAAAUAUCAAUCUUUUAGUGGACCUCCUUAGAUGGUACUUAUUAUGGUGGAGGAAAAGCCACUGUUUCUGCAAUAGAAAAUUUGGUUGGUGAGGAGAAUUUUGUGGUUGAGGUGCGCUAGUGCUUGGGCUUAAGUGGGGUCAGCUGGAAUAAUGAAGCAAUGCUGGCUAAGAAUGCAUCUUUCUUUGUGGUCUUGCAUGUGUGAAUGCUGAUUAGCAUCGAUGACUAUGAUAGACAUGAACAACUUUAUUGACUGUUUGCUUUUCAAACUCGUCAGCUCUACCAUGUGCAGUAUUUAAGAUUUGUAGUUGUGUUAAUGUCCUUCAUUUUGCAGAUACUGUUCGAGGCUUGGCCUUUAUGCCAGCUUUAGGAAUUAUCUCUGCAUCACAUGAUGGGUAAGAUUCUUUUUUCUCUUCAAUGGAUUCACUAUAAUUGUCGAUCCUCACAAGGAAGGGUGCAAGACAUUUGUCUUUAUGUCCAUUCAGUUAGAGGGACAUCAGCUCAUGGUCAACGUUAGGCUGAUAAAAGGACUACAUUGCAGAAUGAAUUAGUCUUGUUAGAAUACUAGUGAAUGUUUUUUGAUGACUACUUGGUGUUAAUCCUAAAGUAGUGGCUAUUCCACCAAGAUGCCAGUGAUUGAUUCUGGUAGCUUAUCAUCUUGUCUACGAUUAGGUAAGCUAGGCUUAAGUUAGGCUGAUAAAAGGACUACAUUGCAGAAUGAAUUAGCCUUGGUAAAAUACUAGUGAAUGUUUUUUGAUGACUACUUGGUGUUAAUCCUAAAGCAAUGGCUAUUCCACCAAGAUGCCAGUGGUUGAUUCUGGUAGCUUAUGAUCUUGUCUACUAUAAGGUAAGCUAGGCUUAAGGUCGAAACUUGCAACAGCCUGUUGCCACAGUUGGGGUGGGCUUGGCCUAAAUCAAGGAAAAAUUCUAGCAGGGGAAUUGAUUUAAAAGACCAAUUGUAAACAUGCAGACAGAAGAGAGAAGAGGGAGCGCAUUAGGGAAGGUUGAACCAUUAUAUUUGCUUGUUGAAUUGCUACUGUUUUUUGGGCCUUGUUACAAGAAUUUCACUGGAAGCAGCAUAAUAUUCAUGCUCAUGUCUUUUCCUGGUUUUUAUAUGGGUUAGGUUUUUUUUUUUUUAGUUAAAAUCCCAUGCUGGGAUUUCUCUUGUCUUUUUCUUUUCUUUGUAUUUUCUAUGAUCUUAUUCUAGCUGUUUUUAGAGAAUCCCUUUUUACUUGUAGGCACGUCUUUGUGCCAAUCUGUUCUACUUUAUUUCUUUGUAAGGUGGAGAUAUUAGUCAUUUUUUGUCUCUAAUCUGCAUAAAUUUAAUUCCUGUUUCUUUGAAUGCAGUUCAAUCAGGCUGUGGGCGCUUAGUGGUCAGCUUCUAAUGGAGAUGGUUGGUCACACUUCUAUUGUCUAUUCUGUAGAUGCCCAUGUUUCUGGGCUUAUUGUCAGUGGCAGUGAGGAUUGUUUUGCUAAAAUAUGGAAAGGUAAUGUGUUUUAGACUGGCUUUCAUCUUCGAAGUUGGUUCUGCAAUAUUGAUUAACACCACAAUUCGUUUGCUUGAUCAACUUUUUUAGUUUGUUGACGAUAUCUUUUAUGGUUAGUGGUAUUCAGUUAUUCUACAUUUUGUUUGGGUUCUGCCUUGGCAAACCUAUAGCCAUUGACCUUUUUCCCCUUGUAACACGGCUUAAAGUCUGAGUUUAGCAUUGAAAAAGAGAACUUGUUAUAAGUGUUAUGUGAAGUGAUUUCAAGAAAUGGCUUGUUCAAAGAGUCAUUCAGCAACAAGUGGCUGGUCUUUUUUCCCCCCUUGUGUAUUUAUUAUUUAAUUGUUUCUGAAUGUGAAUACAUAAUAAAAACCGUAUUGACUAUUUAUCACUUAGUAGAAGCAUGCUUAUGUUGUAUGAAGUAACUGUUCAGGACUCGGUACAGGGACUUUCAUGGUGGAUGAAAUUUGGUCAUCCUUGAAUUUGUUGGUUUCUUUUACUUGAGCCACAUUUUCUUCCCCUUACGAACAGCAUUAUUUUGUGCUGUAGAUGGAGCUUGUGUUCAGAGCAUAGAGCACCCUGGUUGUGUUUGGGAUGCCAAAUUCCUGGAAAAUGGAGACAUUGUGACAGCAUGUUCUGAUGGUGUUGUCCGCAUUUGGACAGUACAUCAGGAUAAAAUUGCUGACUUGCUGGAACUUGAAUCAUAUUCUUCUCAAGUUUCUCAAUACAAGUGUAGUAGGUAUAACAUCUAAACUCGUCUUCUAGUUAAAUUUUAACUUUUAGCUUUCACGGUAUAUUUUCUAUCAGCUAUAUUGGUAGGAAUUUAUGAGUUUGAUAAGCUCUAGUCAGUGAAAUCAGUAUCACUGCAAUUUUUAGUUUUGGUGGUUGCAUCAGAUUCUAAUUUCCCAUCCGUGCUUUGUUAUCAAAACUGGUCCUCAAAUCCAAAAGGAAAGUAGUAGUAUUGUCUUGACCCUGUGCUCUUUCUCUUCCCCUUCCUUCUACCCCCUCUCGCGCUAAUACCCUUGUUUGUUGCUCGGUUUGUGGUUUUAUCUUGAGAGGAGACAUGAGUACAUAAUUCUCUUUGUUGAUAACUUUUAUGUAGCAUGACAUGAAUUACAGUUGGCAGCAUUAUACUGGAAUUGUUGGUUAGGUUAUGAAUGCAAAAUUUGGCUUUUCAGUUUUAUGAAUGUGUAAUGCUCUUAACUUUUGUUUCAUUUUGUAUUAGGAAGAGAGUUGGUGGAUUGAAGUUGGAAGAUUUACCAGGGCUGGAUGCUCUACAGACUCCAGGUUUAGUUAUAGUUUUGUUUAGUGGAAAAUAUUGCUUAGUUGCUUUAUUAAGCAUUAGAUGUACUGUUAAUGCCAGUUCAUUGAAUUAUGAUAGUAGAAACUCUGUUUAAAAUAAUAAUGGUGUUGUGUCUACGUAACAUAUGAUGUUACAACAUGAGCUUUAUUGAACUGGCUCUUUCUACAGCUGGAAUGCUUUUAUAAAUCUAGAGGUGCCUCCUUCAAUUCCUGUUUAAUUUUAUUCUGAUAAUAUGCUGAUCAGGAACCAGUGAUGGGCAGACAAAAGUAGUACGAGAAGGGGACAAUGGUGUGGCAUAUACAUGGAAUAUGAGAGAAUACAAGUGGGAUAAAGUAAUAUUUGGUUUUCUGCUAAUAAUAGAUACCUGUAAUCAUGAUUGUUUUUUCCCACCUUUUAUUUGUGCCCAGUGUCUCAUGGCGGCUGAUCAGCAAAGAAUAGCAGCAUUUCCAUUUGGUCUUUUGUAGCUAAUUUUCUUUUAUUUCAUCUUUUCUGUGUUUGUUACUUUUGACUCUGAACUGCUCAAUUAUUGUCUUUUGUGAAGGUUUGACUCUGAACUUCUGUGUUUGUUACAUCAAAUUCUUUCCAUCUUUACUGCAUUGAUAAACCUUAAUUUAGUUAUUUCUGCUUUAGUAAAGAGAAUGAGCAGCAACUAUUUCAAUGAAAGAAUGUAAACAUGGUAGGUAAUAAAUUAGAACACCAAGGUUUUGAAAAGUGUCAUUUGACCCAUUUACAUUUUAACAGGAUCCCUUUGGUCAUUGUUGAGUUGUCUGGAUGGUAAAUGGUUUCUGCAAAACUCACAAAGUUCCUAAAUUGAUUUGCAUGAAACUAAAAUUGAGAUGUAAUAAUUCAUGAUCUACCUGUUGAGUUAACCAUUAGACUGAUGACAAAGAAUUGGUAUCUAAUGCAACUCCAGUGGAUCUAGGUGAUGUAAGGUUGAUCAUGGUGACUUUUUUCUACCCUCAUAUAAGGUCUUCUUUCCGCACAAGUGUGUAAAGUUUGUUCUUUUUAAACCACAUUAACAUGUAUAGCCGAUCAAUAUCCUCUUCUGACCUGAAUUUGCAGGACAAUUCAUCCUUUUCAGCCUUGGCAUUUUAUACUAAAACAGGAACUUGUAGCAACCUUCAAUAUUUACUUGAAGCAUUUUGAAGUGUAUUUGUAAAUGCAAAAUUUAGUUCAUUUUUCUGUUUAAAUGGCACUUGGACAAAAAAUUUGUUCAAAACUCAUUGCUCUGAAGGACGGAGUAGUCACCAAAAUUGCCCCUAUUGACAACUACAAAAGGUCUGCUAAAUUUUCGGAAUCAUUCUGUCAUUGUGCUGGUCAAACUUCCCUGUUUGGCUGCUGAAAGACUGAAAAUGAGUAUGAAGACUUUCUUCAGUAUUGGUGUGAAAAAAUUAUAUUCAAUUUCUUCCUUUUAUAAUGAUCUUUUGUAAAAUAUAUGUCCAACUUUAAUUUUUUUAUGUUUUUAGAACUUUUAAUAAAUGGUGUAUAUGUGGUUUUUAUUGAAAUUCAGAUUGGUGAAGUCAUUGAUGGACCUGAUGAUAGUUUGACUCGUCCUGUUCUUGACGGGAUUCAGUAUGACUAUGGUUAGCUAAUUCCCCUUUAGGAUUUGCUUUUCAUUUGUAUGUGUUUCUUUGUUAUUGACAAUCUGGUGCCUGUAAUAUUCAGUGUUUGAUGUUGAUAUUGGAGAUGGAGAGCCUAUUCGUAAAUUGCCAUAUAAUCGCUCAGGUACUAUGUUCUUUUAUUCUUUUUCUUUGGUAGUUAACACCGUCUUUAUGCCAAUCAAAGUAAUUGGGUUGUGGUAUUUGAUAGUUGUUUAUCUCCUCAUUUCCAACAAUUUUCUUUUUAUUGUGUGAUGUUAAUUAUUUAUUAAAUUAGCUGGGAAUCUCCAUGACGCACUUUUCAUAUUUUAAUGGAAUGGAAAAAACAUAGAUGUAUGUUGUGUGGAGUCUAACGCUACUGGGUGAGAAGAUGGAACAUUGGAUGGGUGAAUACUCUAGUUGUUUGGGGAGCGGAGCAAGGAGAUGCUUUUAACUGAAAAUGGGAUUGAGGUGUAAGAAAUUGAUGUUUUUGAGUUAAUCUGGAUAGCCGUCUUGGUUGAAUGAGCAAAUUCUUUGGUCAUCUAAUGCUUAUAUGAAAGGAUUCUUUUGCAUUACUGCUUUCAAUUGUAUUGCUAUUUUCAGACUGGUGAACUUUGGCAAAUGCUAUUAUGCAAACUUACAAGAUAGAUUGUGUAAGUUGUAGGAAGUUCAUUGGUCUCAGUUAUUUGUGUAUUCAGAGUGCUUGUUCUUGUUUGCUAUACAUUUUCUACAGCUGCUGAAAGUGGUAAUUCUUUUUUUUUUUUUGGCCCCCCGGGGGGGGGGGGGAGGAGCUCCUUUUUUCCUAGAUGCUUUUGUAAGUGAAGUUUUAGAAAAUCAUCUCUGUGGGAUCUCUGAAAUAUUUUAUUACAGCUUUUUUGAGCUAAAGCAGAGUAAUAAAAAAACACGAAUAAAAUUAUCCUCGAUCAGCUUUUUGCCUAAAAUGAGCAAAAGAAGGAAGUACGCUCUAUUUAUGUGUUCAUCAAAAUUUAUAAAAGGAAGUGACAGUAAGUUGUGCUGCCAGUAUCUCUACAUCAUGUGGGAUGUUUACCUACGUGGUGUUACCUUGACUAUGGUUGUGAGCCUGCUUUGCAUCUGGCAUUAUUUCCCAUUUGGUUUCUUCUCUUUUUUUCCAAAAAUUUACUGGUAUUUAAGCAACAAAUAAGAAAGCUCGAGGAAAAGUACCUUGAUGCUGUGCAAUUACUCGAGUAUGAUUGUUUUGUCACUGGCAUCAUUAUUAACAUGUUCACAUAAAACAGAUCCAAACCAUGUAUUUGGUUGUUGGACUUUUAGUGAUUGUUCUCUUGGUGUCCAUUUCACAGAUAAUCCUUAUGCUGCUGCCGAUAAGUGGCUGCUUAAGGAGAAUCUUCCCCUAUCCUAUCGCCAACAGAUUGUGGAGUUUAUACUGCAAAAUACUGGACAAAAAGACUUUUCUCUUGAUCCAUCUUUCCGUGAUCCCUUUACUGGGUGUAAGUAUAGAUCAUAAUUGUUGCUGCAUAAUUAUUGUUGGAGUUGGUUCAUGUGGUGCUUUUUUGACUAACUGCAUCUCUUGUUUUUCAAAUUUGUUUCCUGGAUCAUUGACUAAAUACCUCCUCCUUCCCCUAAUUUUCAUGGGCAAUUUAAAUUUCAGCCAGUGCUUAUAUCCCUGGACAACCUUCAAAAUCAGAAGGUAUACUUUCAAUGUUGAUGAGAUUUUAUAAUUAUCACCUUAGCUCUUUAGUUUUUCCCAUUUUGGAAACUUAGAGUUCUGCUUUCUCCUUUUUAACAGCCUCUGUGGAAAAGCCUACCUUUAAGCAUAUUCCCAAGGUGAGCUCUUUACAAGUACCUUUUGCACCUAGGAUUGAGAUCAUGAAGUUGUUCACUUGCAACGCUGUCUAAAAUGGUUUCUUGUAUACCUUGUAUUUAUCCAUACCUGGCACUCUUGGUGAAGAGAGAGAUGCUUAUUAAAGCAGUCAAUUUGAGAAUAUUGUGUACUCUUUUAUUCUGAAAUAAUUUUUGAAACAUAGUGACAUGAGAAAGUUGUAAAUUUUGUUGCUUUGACAAUUAAAAUUGAAUGUUCAAUUAUGCCCUAUUAUGUGAUAUCCUGGAAAAAUCCUCUUCUUCAGUCUUUGGCUUUGUGUUGUGUGUUUGGAUAAGACAUGCAAUCUGGCUUUCACAUAUUCUUAACUUGGAAAUAGUAGAAAAUAUGUGGUAAGGUUUAGUUGAAAUACAGUAUCUUUUUUAUUAGAUUGUGAUUAUACUGUUGACUGUUAUCUAAUAACGUAUGAUAACUUUGUUACCCAGAAAGGAAUGCUUGUCUUUGACGUAGCGCCGUUCGAUGGUAUUUUGAAGAAAAUUGCAGAGUUCAACAGUACUCUACUUUCUGACAUGGUAAAGUUUGUGCUUAUCUAUCAAAAUAGUUUUAUGUGUUGUUCAGUUUCUUGUAUAUUUGUUCCUUUGCCCCUCCUAAUGUGUUUUAUGUGCUCAAUAAUUUUCUUACAUCUGAGUUUGGCUCUUCAUAAAGAAGAACAAGCAUUUGUCAGUUCCAGAUGCUGAAAUGUCAAGAAUUGGAGACAUUGUUAAGAUUUUGAAGGACACAUCACGCUACCACAGUAGUAAAUUUUCAGAUGGUGACAUGGAUUUGGUGCUGAAGUUGCUGAAUAGUUGGCCUGUUGAAAUGAUAUUCCCAGGUGAUAUUGUUUUCUUAUUCACCAGUAUUUGUGUCCCUUCCUGCUCCUUGCAUUCCAUUAAUUCUCAUGUCCAUCGAACUAUGGUUUAGUUGGAACCAGAUGUUGAAUAUUGCUGAAUUAAUUGGUGAUGCCUGUUGUUUAAAAUAAAAAUUGAAUGAGACAGUCAUGCCUAUUCAUCUGAUGCAUAUGACAAAAAUUGAAUGAGAAUCCUUUGCCAGUUUUGGCUUUUUUUUUGCUUGUGGGGACUGGUCACCAUGCAGAGUCUCUUAAUGUUGUUAGUCUUUUUGUAGUUGUUGAUCUUUUGCGGAUGGUAAUACUACACCCUGAUGGAGCAACAGUACUUCUCAAGAACACAAGUGAUGGAAAUGGUACUAAUUAGAUUCCUGUUAUGCUCUAUGUGUUGCAGAUUCCAUGGAAUUGGUUAUGAUGUUCGUUUUAAAAUUACUCUAGCAGUUUCCUAUAAGAUUUUUUGGCAACCUUUGUGGCAUUUCCUGCCUAAUAAUAACCUGCUUGCUUGGUCAGAACACCAAUUUGUUAUGGAUAUAUGAGCAAUUAUUUCACAAUUGUUAUUUAAUAAUCAACGGAGUGUUGGUUUAUGUUAUCAGGCUAUGUAAAUUGAAUGUCCUUUAGCGUCCUGCUUUAUUUAAAUGGCUAACCAAUAUACUUGUCUUGUGAUGUAAUGUGGUGUCCAUAAGUUAAGCCAUUUCGGUGUUUGCAUCUUGAUUUUUGGUAAUCUUCAACUUGGUUCACCAGAUGUGUUUGUGGAGUUAGCUAAGAAGGUCACAAGUUCUCCUCUUCCACCAAACCUUCUGACCAGCAUCCGAGCUGUAGCAAAUCUCUUCAAGAAUUCAAUGUACCAUGACUGGCUACAGAAAAAGCGUGCUGAGGUUAGUGACGAGAUCUUUCUUAGAAUUAUGUACUUUGUCAGCAGGGAUGGAGUUAGAGAUUCACUUCAGUGGGUGCAGUUUCAUGAAGAUAGAAAAGAUUAAAAAUUGUUGAAUAUGAGAUUGUUAGUUUCCAAAUGGAAUGAGGGCAAAAUAAUUGAAAAUUAAAAAUAAUUUCCCUCAUAUUUGAUCUUACUCAUAUUGUUAUUCCUGUUUUCUGUUUCUCUUGUUUGGAAAUUUCGUUCAAUGGUGUGAAUAAGGCAAAGAAUAGAUGACUACUUCUGUUCUUCAUUUUUGUUAUUGAUUUCUUACCCCUUUGGGAAAAUCUUAUCGAAACUUCUUCAAUAUGUAAUUAACCUGCACAAGUUGCUUAUGGUUCUAGAUUCCAUUGGGAAGAAGUAGAAUGGAAGGAAUAGUUAAUCUUUGUAUAUCAGCAAUUUGUAAAUAGAUGUUUUCAUUCAUAUGAUUGGUAAGUUUAGCUUAAGAAAGAUAGAGGGAUCAAACUUUGUUUUUGAUUAACUAGCAAUAUACCCCUAGUUUUUUUGUUUUCCUUUUUGCAUGAAUUUGUUCAUAGUUUCCCCUUUCAUUGGCUAAAGGAUAAAAUCAUGGUCCUAAUAAAAAGUUAGGAAAUGAUUGCAAUUUCAAUGUUUAAUCUGAUUUAAUUUAUCAGCUUCUUGCUCACCUAUGUUACUAGGGUGGAAACAGAUAAAUAUCAAAGUAGAGACUGAACAGCUCACAAAUGGCAUUAAUGUUAUUUGUUUCUAUUUCCUUUAGCUAUGUAAAUCAACUAAUUAGGGGCAAAAAUAUGAAUUGUUUUUAUCCAUUACCCCAGCUGUCUUCACUGCUGCUUGUUGGUUUCUAUGAAGGUACAUAAUUUGCAGUGCCUAUUGUAUAGUUGCCCUAUAUUUUCACCAGAAGCUUGCCUUCCUUUAGCUAUGUGCAUGCUUUCUGGUUUUGGAGCCUAUGGUUUGUAUCUUUGGCUGUUUAUGUAAUGAAGAGUUCUAAUGGGAAGUUUUAGUGAUUUACUUUGACUAAACUAGUAUUUUGUUUUUGUGCCUUUUCUUUUUCUGUGUUUCAAGUUUGCUAACAAUUUGAUAACUGAAUCUGUGCAAGAAUGCUGUUGUUGUACUGUACAAGUUGCGCGUGCUUAGCUUAUGCAUCCAUAUUUCCUUGUCCAUUGAUAGCUUACUGAAUUUCACUUUUUCUGAUGUCUUUUUUAAUGAUCUUGUAGAUACUGGAUGCCUUCUCAAGUAGUUACUCAUCUUCAAAUAAAAACGUACAAGUGGCUUACUCAACUUUGAUGCUCAAGUAUGUACCUUGUGAACGAUCAUUUCCUAUAAUGUAGUUGCUAUAUUCUGACGCUAAUCUCUGCCGUGUUUGACCAAAAAAUCUUUUUAAACAGUUUAUUGCAAUAUUUUGUUCUGCUCUGUUUUUGUCAUGUAUCGAGCAUGCUAAUUGAACUCUUUAUUCUUUUGUCCUUUAUGAGCUUGUGGUUAUUGCUAAUUGCACAGUUUUGACAAUAUCUGUUCCACUUCCACCAUUCUGUUUUCUUCUUGUCAGGCAGAAAGUCUCUUUGUGUCCAUCUCUGUUUAUAAUUGGUUUUACUGAAAGUAAUUGUCUUUUUGUUUAAGCUGGCUGUUUCUUGACUACUUAAUUUCUUCCUGUUACCUUCUACUUCUUGGCUAUCAUUCUGUGGUAUUUUCAGUUAUGCCAUUCUACUGAUUGAAAAGAAGGAUGAAGAAGGGCAAGCUCAAGUUCUUUCGGCAGCACUUGAGGUAAUGUCUUUUAAUCUCAUUUAGUGAAAAAUAAAUGUUCCUGUUUAAAUGUCUUUUGGUGUUUAAUAGGACCGUAUAUUUCACAUUAUGUAUUUUCUCCUCUGAUCUUAAAGAUUGCAGAAGAUGAAAGUCUUGAUACCGAUUCCAGAUUUCGGGCUUUGGUUGCCAUUGGAUCUUUGGUAAGUUCGAGCUUCUUUCUUUGUUUCUGUAGUUGUAGUUACUUUGAUUCUAAUCUCUCCCUAUUUUUCAUGCUCUAAAUCACAAACUUCAUUUGAUGCUUCAAAUUGUAGUAAAAGUAUAAAAUGUAAGAUGGAAUUUUAGGGCAAAAUUUCAAGCAUUGGCAAAGCAACAGGGGCUGCUUAACCAACUGGUGAAGUCACACUAUAGUCUUUCUGGUUCUCUAUGGAGAUAGAUUUGUUAAUUUGGUAAAUGCUAGUACAUUUAAAAUCUUCCAUGACCUUUGAUUAUGAGAAUGUUGAGCAAAGAUGGAAGGCCACUGGCAGAGGAGACAGUAGCCCUGUAAGUUCAGAGAAAAUAGAGUAGUUUGCAAAAAUAGAUACUAAAUUGUUUAUUGAGUAGCAAGUGGUUGCCCUAUGCAAUUGUGAAGAUUAAAAUGGUGUAAGCCUGGUUGCUGCUAGCUAGAUUCUCAGUUUUCAAAAGCAAUGUUCACAAGCUGUAAGGAGGAUGUAACUGUGACUAUGUUCAGCUUUUGUAAUCUCUGCAAUCAAGGUGGUCAAUCUGAUUUCUCCCUGCCCCUGAUAGUUAUUGGCAUUUUAGAUUUUAUACACUACAUUCGUUGCUGAGAACAUUUGGACUUCGCACAUAGAAUUAUGCAGAUAGGUCAUUGCUCAUUUGAGAAGUAUGAUUUUUCUGCACAUAUGCAAUGGAAGCAAAUCUGUGGUCCGUAAAUGAAAUUCGAUUGUUGUUUUUAGCGCCUUUGCACCUAUAUCCUUCUUCCAUGUUUUGGGUUCAACUUUCUUAGGUAGUCAAUGUGAUUAUCAUCUUUUGGCCAUGCUGUUCUUGUUUUAAAAUUGACUUGUGACAUUUCUCCAUUUCACUCAUGUUAGUAACAUUAUUGUGCGAAAUUCAGAUGCUUGAAGGCCUUGUUAGAAAAAUAGCUGUCGACUUCGAUGUGGAAAGCAUUGCAAAAGCAGCAAAAGCAUCUAAGGCCACGAAGAUUGCUGAAGUUGGAGCUGACAUUGAACUGAUAAUAAAGCAGAGCUGAAUAUGCUACUCCGGGGUAAAUCCAACCUUUUUUUUUUCCCCCCGAUCUGUAGAAAAAAAGCAUUCUUUGUGAAAUUAUGAACAUAAGCGGUUAGCACCUGCUUUCUACAGGUCUGACCUAGUUAUUUGACAGAGCCAGGGUGACAAUACAUGAUCAUUGAAGACGAGAUGCAUUUGAGGAGAACUGCAGUACAUUUGGGACGUAUGACCGGGCAGUACAAUGCGUUUGAUGGGAUGUGAUCCUGAUCGCUUUAUUGCUUUUCACUUGAACUGAAAGUGGGGUAGUUUUUCCAGGCUUCCACCGUGUAACUGAGGCCACUGAAGUCUGUUACUGUACUCACAGACACAUAAGAAAACCUAUACGUAGGAGAAAAUUGCUUUGUACUCACAGGAAUGAUAAUUUGGAACUAGAACUCGUUCCAAAUUGACAAUCACGUGAACAUCUGCGAGUUACUUGCGUUUACUUUUCGUUCAUCUUUGCCAGUUUUCGUCUAUUUGCAUUUUGCUACUUCCGUUGAUCCCAGAUGAGAAUGCGAAAGGUGUAAUAUUCUUUUAGGUUUCUGGCUGAUUUUUUAUCUAUUUUUUUUUCCCCUUAAAUAGGAGCUGCUAGCCUGAUGCCUGUUAUUGAAGGUGCCAUAUCAUUUGAAGAUAAUUAGUUUGAUUGCGUACGCUCUUCAGAUACUUCAGCCCAGAUCUUGAUUAACUUGUAAUAAAUCCGCAUCCGAUUAGAAUUUGUUAAAUUGGUAUAUUCAUCCUGGCAGGUGUAGUAGUGGAUCCUUUUGAUUUAGAGAUGAAUACCUUUCCCUCUUAAGUUGCCUUAGCCUAGCAAGGCUUUCUCGUAGUAUAGUUUGGAGUAAAAAUGGUGUCGAUAUCCCCUAUUGAUCCAAAAAGAAAAAAAAAACGAGGUUUAUACCUCAAAACAUGUACGUAUUUCGCUGGAUUGUUUGUAUUAAAAGUUGUGGUUACAGUCACUUUUCAAAAUCCUGGUGAUAAAUUCAGGAUCAAUAAAAAAAAAAGAAAAGAAAAAUAUAUUUCCAAGUCUGGAGUAAAUAAAAUCUGUGGUCCGUAUUGAAUCGUUAAUGCUGUGUGCAUGCCAUGCAACUGUACCCCAAUUUGAUGAAUCAGAAAUUAUGGUUGGCAUCAAAAUAGUCUAAAAUAACAAAAAGAUUUCAUCUACGAAAGGAAACACUUUUCACUUUAGCAGUAAGAAAAUAAAAAUUUUCAAAUUGCAAUUCUGUUUCUUAGAAAUACUAGUAGAAGAACUCUAACAAUAAUGUCAUUAAGGAACAAGAGUGGAAAGCCCCAAUCUUUAGUUUCAAGACUCUUGUUUUUUUAUUAUGUCAAAUUUGAGUGAUAAAUCAAAAUGAGAGCAAGUGUGCUGCAUAUGGGCAAUGUUUGCAUUUAACAGAAGAUAAAUCUUAUAUAUGCUAUCAUUGGAUAGAUGAUACAUGAGUAAAUUUUGAAAUUCAAAUUCAAUCAAAUUUUGAGCAAAACCGUUCUAUAUUUUAGGCAAAAGUCGAUUAACGGAGGCGACAUUUUUCAUUAAGCUAUGGGUUAAAUUGGCACCUUAGACAUCCAUGUCCUUAGUCUAGCUACAAUUCCUGUGGUUCUCCCUCAAUUUAUAAUUUCAAAUCUUUCUCCGUCAAGGAUAACUCUUUCACGUGUUUUCCUCCUCUUUUAUUUAUUUAUUUGCCUUUACAUGCAAGAAUUGUUCGUGUGAUACUCAUGAAUAGAGAAUAUUUAGAUGCGUUUGAAGUAUUAUUUUCAAGUUUAUAAAGAUAAAGUUUACGAGUAGUUUAUGAUUGAGUAUAAAUGUUUCUUGGAAUUUAGAUGCGGAACAAAUAAUUAUUAAGAAAUCAAGAACACUAAAAUAAAAAUAUAAAAAUAAAAGUGACAUACAAAAUUUAACGUGAUUUGAUUUAAUUACCAAACCUACUUUUCUCACCUCCAAGAACUCUCACACCUAAUGUAAAAGAUCUAAUGCCCCUUGUGUGCCAUAUGCCAUAAGUAAUCUAUCUAUAAGAUACAUUAGUAACAUUACUUGUAGGAAAUAAAUGCAUUGGCAAAUUACUCCAAAGUCCAAAUAAAUAGCAACUGUUAGAAACUAUUCAUAUUAAUUAAUCCAUGCUUAGGGCGGGGAUCAAGCAUGAAGGUGGGUGAAUUUAUGACUUCCGAUUUUUUUUGUCGAUUGGAACGCAAUCUCCUCAAUAUAAGUCCAAUCACCACGUGCCACAUAAUACAAUUGGAAAAUACUUUUUCUCUUGAGGCAGCUGGACCAUUCUCGUAAUUCCCUUUUCCCGCAGGAACCCCCUAGUUUUAACUUUUAACCUCCAAAAGAUGUUUUCCAACCAAUUCGGUCCCUCCCCGCCGCCCCACUUCCUGGUCACGUCCUUCUGGGCCUCCCCUCCCUUCUUUCUCCCUAUUUCGAUUGUCGAAGUACAUAUUUGCUUUUGACAAAAAAAAGAAGUACAUAUUUGCUGAAAUAGAUAAGCCUCUCAGAUUGGAUCUGUCUAGAGGAUUCUUUCCCCUUUGAGUAAGUUUUUCACUUAAUUAUUUUCUUUCUACUUCGAUCUCUGGGCUUCACAUAAAUUAUCUGUUACGCUAAUUUAGUCUCUUAUUAAUCAAAUUUAGUGCAGGAUUCUAGAUUUUGUUGAUUUUUUUUUUUCGAAAAUUUCGGAAUUGCUGGAAACCGUUCUUUCAGGGUGGUGCAAUUGAUGAUUGCUACGGAUGAAAUUACUGCUACUUAAGUUUUAAGUGUAAAUAAUUAGAAUUAUCACUAUGAUUUUUUUUAAAGAUAUUUUCUAAAGGGGGGGGGGGGGUUCGGAGGGAGGGAGUGGUAGUCAUCAUGGCGACUAUUGGGAUCAAACCCUGGUUGUAUACGAGGGACUUAGACGGUUAACCACUGGGCUAUGCUAUUCUCAAAUCUUAUUGGCUCUUUUUUUGAUUGUUUAUAAUUUAGUGGGUGUCAUGGUUUAUGUUUAUUUUCAUGUAUAGCCUCUGAAACGGUCUUUGAUGAUGUUUACGUAUUGUAUGGAUGAAUUUGGUUUAAUGAAAGUGGUAGUUGGGUUGGAAUAUCUUCUCAGUGUCUGUAAACUUGAGUUGAUUGUUGUAUUUCUGCCUGGGAGCUAGCAUCCCUUAGCAAUGGUGGUAUUCAGUUGAUUACUUUAACGAAGACGUUAAAUGGAUUUUACUUGAGGUCUAAAGGCGCUUGCUACGUCAAGAAGACGUUAAAUGGAUUUUACUUGAGGUCUAAAGGCGCUUGCUACGUCAACAAUCCGUUCACUUUUAGACUUCCUUAAUUUAGUUAGUGAGGAAUCAGGUGGUUGCAGCAAUUGGUGCUUUGAAUCCUAUGCAAUGUUAUGAGGAUUAAAAAUUACCCUGUCUUUAGGACUGGUGAUGAUCAAAAUGGGGAGACUGCCAGAAGAUUCAAUUGGUGUUACAGAUAUAUGGACUGGAAAAGUUUACAAUGCAUAUCUUUAGUUGCGUAAUUUGUUUUCUUUCAGGCCUUGAAGUAGCACGGUACUACUUUUGAAUGCUUAUCUUUGUGAAUCUGACUCAAAAAGGUUGUUAGGAAAUCCUUCCCCCAUGUGCGACAGGUUUCUGGUAAAAUUGUGGAAAGAGGCUGGGGUUCAAGAGCUAGAGUGAUAUAUCUAGAUGGAUAGUGUCAGAGAAAAGUGCACUAUGUGAUUGCUUUUUUUACCCUGCUAGGCUACGUAUGAGCACUUCUUAGUACUGAGGUUGGCUUUUCUGUCUUUCUGAUAACCAUUGUUUUUCAUUCUCGUGUUAUUGAUUUUUCAGAUACUGAUAAUCUCCUCCUUGCUGUCCUUAGCCGUCUAGUUUCAGUAUAGCUUGAGAUGGAUGCCUAAAACACAUACUUGUGCAUUUAGGAGAACAAGAAUUCCUAGUCACCACUUCUUGGCAGAGUGAUUGAUCAUGUAGGACCAGCAAUUUUAGCACGUAGCUUGCUUCUUGGGUUUGGUUUUCCAAUGUGAAACCAUACUAUUCUUUGACUGUUUUGUUGGCAAAUUCCUACAUAUCAACGUCCUAAGGCUUGAUUGAUUUCUAAGGUUCAUGAUGUUGAGUUGUGUGCAUAUUUGUGUGUUAAACAAAUAUUGCUAAUAUGACAUGUUGUAGCCUGGCUGUGGUUUUUUAGUUUAUUAUCUAUGUUGUUGGAAUGCCCUUCAUUGCUCUAGUUUCACACGUCAAUUUGUUUACUUAAUUUUGAACCUGUUUUUCCCUAUGCCAGAAUUUUAAGGCCUUAGUAAAUAUUUUAAUUUUGUUUCUAUGCAGUUUUGAGAUUCAUGGUAGUGGAUAUGGAUUGUGGGACUAGUGAAUCAGUGGAUACUUCUCACUCAACUGAUGAGAAUGAUGAGGCUGGUGAUGUUGGUGAUUUUGAAUGCAAUAUCUGCUUUGAUUUAGCUCAAAAUCCCGUUGUGACACUUUGUGGCCAUCUUUACUGCUGGCCUUGCCUGUACCAAUGGCUGCAAGGUCAUUCGUAUUCCCACGAAUGUCCGGUUUGUAAAGCCAUAAUAGCUGAGGAGAAACUGGUUCCUAUAUAUGGAAGGGGCAAAGGAAGAUCAGAUUCAAAACCCUUCCAAAUAUCGGGAGUUAAUAUUCCAAAUCGGCCUGUUGGGCAAAGACCACCAUCAGCUCCGCCUGUAAAUAUGAACCACUUCACACAAGAUCAGUUGGAUCCCAUGUCAAAUGCAAGGUUUGGAAACCUAACGCUGUCUGCUCUUUUUGGCAUUAUUCCAGCUGUUUUUAGUUUUCAGAUGCAUGCAAUGCAUGAUGCCACUGUCUAUGGGGCAACGACAGGAGUGCCCUAUGUGUUUUCAAGUUCAUUCCACGGAGGAUACUCUCAUGGUUUUCAUCACCAUUCAACUCAAGUGGAGGGGAAACUGGUCUUUUGGAAGAUAAUUGCCCUGCUUGCUGGCUUCUUAAUACUUUUGCGUCUAAUUUUUUAGGCGUUCGAUUUCAGAAGUUGGUAGUCAUGCUAUUGUAUGUCGAGAGAACUGUCUAAUGCACGUUUGCUUGAUCUGUGGUCGAAAUGUCGACUUAGUUCUGAAAGUGACAUCUUCCUCUGUUCGCAUUUCAUAUCGAAUUAGCGUUUGACUUGUGCUCUUUGCUUUCCCUCGACUCAACGUAGAUGAUUACAAUAAUGCUUGCUGCUUGCUGGAAAAUUAAGAAAACCAGAGCAUCCAUCUAAGAAAAUAUGGGUCCAGGCUUACAUUUGAAAAUUAGCUUUGAAGUUACCAAUUUGGUUAAUGUUACUACUUCAGACUUCUUCUUUUUCCGAUUAUGGCUGUGUUAUACUCUCCUUCAAGUAAGGUAAUUUUGCAUUGUAACUCUACAUAAACUUUAUUCUAUUUCAGUUUCAGCGGUGAGGAAGAACCAAUUGCAGCUUUUGUAAUUUCAUUUAUGUAAAAAUUUGAAAGAACGAAUAAAUCUUAAUUAUCCUUGUUUUGUUUUUUUUGGGUUAGUGAAAGGCAGUUCUUACAUUUUUUUUUUUUUUUAAAAAAACAUCCCAAACGAUGACUAAGGCAGUUCUUACUAAAUCAGCAGUAAUUUUUGAAGUUGUUUGGAUAAAAACAUUUUGUCGAGCGUUGUGGUCCCUCAACCAAUCUGGAACCUGCAGCAUAUAAUUAGAAAUUCGAUUAUAGAAAAUCAAUCUAAAUGAAUUCUACUCAAUGACGGGGUGAUUCAAUAAAAAUGUUGAGCCAAAUUGAAACAGUAUAGUGGUAUUUAAAUUAAUUAAACUGGUUUAAAAAAAAUUAAUUACAUGAAAUAUCUUCUCCCAAACAAACCCAAGUUGGCCAUUGCUACCUGCAACCAUCCUCGCCCCAACCCCACUUUACGGUUAAAAGUCGUUACACAUCACCCCAUCUCCUCUCCAGUCUUGCUGAAGCUGCAACAGCAGCAGCAAGAAGUCAAGAAGGCAUGGUGUAGUGUAGUAGCAGCUUGUUUUUGCAUCAAUGGGUUCUCUCCACUUGACUUCCUCCAGGCCCCAAUCCCAAUCUAUUCCAUUAUCUAAACUUCAGAAUGGCACUACUGGUUGUUGUACCAAAACAAGAUGCUGCUACUACGGCUACUAUCCCUUUUUUCCUAAGCCUCCGUUCUCGCUCCGGAAUUCACAAAUUAGUUACAGUUUCUGCUGCAGGAAUAACGGUCUAGCUUUGGGCUUUACUGUAUCAUAUAAGCUCGAAACCUCGAAAGAUAAUAUUUUGACGCAAAGCAAGAAGAAGAAGAAGAAGGAGGACGAGGAGGAUAAGAAGAGCAAGAUUGUAGUCCCGGAGUCCAAUGAGGAGGCGCCUUCGCUUUCAGAGGAGGGAACCGCCGGAAUAAGUAAUGGCAGCACCCGACAACCGGCCACUCGGAAGAGCCAGUUGGGAGGGGUAGGAGGGUCAUGGAAGAGUAGUAUUUGGAGGAGGGUGUUGGCUAUUCUCUCUAAUUUGCCUUUGGCUCUAGCAGAAAUGGCCGCUGUUGCUGCCCUGAUGGCUUUGGGUAAUUGCACUAAAUUUUUCUCUCUUACCAGCAAGUUUCCUUUUCUUGAUGUCCUAAUACGAUGCAGCAUCAGAUUCAGUUAUUUCUAACUUGGAUAUUCCAAUGUCAGUUACUGAACUGAUACCAGUCAAUUUAAAUGUUAUACUUGCGAGUAUUCUGAAUCUAUAUCCAAAGAAAAAAGGGGGUACAAGCUAUAAGUAAUAGGCAGUAUUGUUGUGAUCAUUUUCUGACAGGAACUGUGAUUGAUCAAGGCGAGACACCGGACUUUUAUUUUCACAAGUAUCCUGAAGAUAAUCCUGUCCUGGGAUUCUUCACGUGGAGAUGGGUUCUCACCCUUGGUUUCGAUCACAUGUUUACAUCCCCUAUUUUCUUUGGAACUUUGGCUCUCUUGGGAGCAUCACUCAUGGCUUGUACGUACACUACCCAGAUCCCCCUUGUCAGAGUAGCAAGAAGGUCCGAUUUCUCUGUUACUAUAUUAAGUUGGGUAAUGUGUUUUCUCUUCCGGAGGUCUUAAGAGGAAACGGCUUUCAUCUUUUGCUCAAAUAGGCUACAGGAGAAUAAAAAGGACCAAGUAUAUCUCUGUAUGGAUUUUACUUUACGUUUCCUGCUCAUUUACUUCCAAUGAAGUUGCUUAAAACUCCAAAGUCCUUUUUGCAAAAACAAAGAUCAUGUUUUUUUGUUUCGUGUAUCAAACAAGCAAACAAAAUGAUUUCCCUUGUGUGUCUUUUUCCUUGCCUUCUUUGCUAGGUUGCAAAUAGAGAGAGACUUGAUUAUAUGUGGUUUGGUUUAACAGAUGGUCUUUCUUAUACUCGGCUGAGGUGAUUCGGAAGCAGGAAUACACUGACAUUCUACCUCAAGCGUCGAUUAAGGAUUUAGGUGUCAUUCUGAUGGGAGCUGGAUAUGAGGUCUGAUGUUCUCUUUAGCUUUCUUUCUUGCCUCUGUCUGUACUUCUUAUUAAGUCAUAUUAGCAAAAGAGUAAAAACAUUACAUGGGGCUGGUCGAAAACGUAGAGAAGACUAGUUAGUGAACAUGUAUCAUGUAGUCUCCUCUACUUGACAAAUUUUAUAUACGAGAUUUAUCAGUUUUAAAAUUAUACUGCAAGGUUCUUGUUUCACCCCGAAGCAGAUAUCUAGGAUAAGCCUGCCCUCCCUUGCUCUAAUGUGGUUCAAAUCUGACAUCAUCCCAAAAGGGGAGAGGGGUUGGGGGCAGGGAGUUGUGUACCUGAAGGAUAGCAAGGCAGACAUAAGUUCAUAGGUGCCGUUAGUGUCAAUGAUUGAUGUGUUCAAACUUCUGGUAAUGUAAGAUAGUGUUGAGAAAUUUUUUAUAGCAUCUCUUUUGAACUCAGAAGCAUCCAAAGUAAUUACCUUUUAUUAGUGGAACUUUUAAUGAUUUAAAAUUACAUUUAAAUUAAACCAGAGACUUUAGUUUGCAGUGAUUAAUACUGCUUCCAAUUUUGUUAAAAGAAAGUGGCCACAUUUGCUCUUGAGAUUUGUGAUAACUUUUUGAAGUGCUCAUAGAUGCUGAGUUAACACGUAAGUUUGAAAAGUACUGAUAAUGUGGACUUCUUUAGACUUGUGUGGUGUUUCUCUUAGUGAUUUUGCAGUUUCUACAUCGUGCUUGUCUGAAAUUCUUUGAAUCGAUUCCUUGAUACUGAACUAGAUCUUUGCAACUGUCUGUUUCUUCAGGUAUUCUUGGAAGGACCAUCUUUGUAUGCCUUUAAGGGUUUGGCUGGUCGGUUUGCUCCAAUUGGAGUACAUUUAGCACUGCUGCUGAUAAUGGCUGGAGGAACUCUCAGUUCUGCUGGUAGCUUCAGAGGAUCAGUAACAGUUCCACAAGGCCUAAAUUUUGUUGUAGGAGAUGUACUGGGACCCAGUGGAUUUUUAUCUAUGCCAUCAGAGGCGUUCAACACAGAAGUUCAUGUCAAUAGGUUUUACAUGGACUAUUAUGACAGUGGAGAGGUAGUCUGCACUAAAAAUAACAGAAACAAAAGCAUUUCUUCAAUUUUCUUUUUGCCUAGCUAGUUGUUUCUGUUAUCCAAUUCAGCUAAUUUGUUCUUUUAUCUUUUUGUUUCUUUAAUAGGUAAGACAGUUCCACACUGACCUUUCAUUACUUGACCUCAAUGGCAAGGAGGUGAUGAGGAAAACUAUAAGUGUGAAUGAUCCAUUGAGGUAUGGAGGAAUUACUAUAUACCAGACAGACUGGAGUCUUUCAGCACUUCAAAUAUUGAAGGAUAAUGAAGGGCCAUUCAAUUUGGCAAUGGCACCUCUUCAAAUCAAUGGUGACAAGAAACUCUAUGGAACAUUCCUGCCUAUUGGAGAUGUUAAUUCUCCUGAUGUCAAGGGAAUGUAUGUUUGUUUUAUUAGUACAUGUAACUUGUGGAGAUCUCUAGUUUUGUAUCUCUUUUGGAAAAUCAUUUAGCAUAUUCCCCUAUAAAAAUGCCCGUACUAUGGGGAAGCAAGUUUUUUCUUUACUUAUUUCUUAAAGUGUUGGACGGGGGUUUUGCUGAAUUCUACUCUGUUUUAGUUGGAUAACCUUUGAUAAAAGCUUGAAACCAUUUAAAUUGCAUCAAAGGGGGAAUUAGCUGCAGUCAUAUGCAGGAGAUAAGACUUGCAUUUUCUCUUUGUUAUUAUGGAGAUGUGUUGUUAGGAACCAAGAUUUGCCUUUCAAUUGAUAUUUUCCGCAUACAAAGUUCCUUUGUUCUAACAUUUUCUUUGAAUAUUCAGAUCAAUGCUAGCUCGUGAUCUCCAGUCAAUUGUCCUCUAUGAUCAACAAGGAAAGUUUGUUGGAGUAAGACGGCCAAACUCAAAGCUCCCAAUUGACAUAGAUGGCAUUAAAAUUGUCAUUGUUGAUGCAAUUGGUAGUACUGGGCUGGACAUAAAGGUAAUUAACUUGCCUUCAACUUUUUAUGUUUGGAGUUUGCCUUGUCUUCUUUUUGAUAUAUUUUUCUUUUCCUCUUCUUUUCAUAAUUAUUGUACAUCCCUGUUUCCAUAUAGACUGACCCUGGGGUGCCAAUUGUUUAUGCUGGUUUUGGUGCUUUAAUGCUCACAACUUGCAUCAGUUUUUUAUCUCACUCACAGGUAAAGAUUCGGCUUAUGACAUUUUGGCAAUCCAUAUGGUUUAUAAUCCUGAUCCUGCAAGUUCAUUUUUUUGUUUCAUAUGUUAUCCAAUCUCGAAGAUUUGGGCCUUGCAAGACGGUACAGAGGUGAUUAUUGGAGGGAAGACAAAUCGUGCAAAAGGUGAAUUUCCAGAGGAGAUGAAUCUCUUACUUGAUCAAGUCCCUGAAUUAGUUGAAUCAUCUUCUCCUCAGCAAUCUGAUGUUAUCAGUGGCUGAUGUAACACUGUACGCUGGGACAAAGAAGCAUCUUAAGAUGAAAUUUCAGCUAAUGCACACACUCUGCAUUUGGAAUAUGAUGCAGGAAAUUGUCAAUUGGGUUUGACUUGACUGCUUAAGAUAUUGGUGCAUCGAGCUUGAUUGAAGAUAAACCAGAUAUUGCUUUCACUCUCGUCACAUAUCCCAAGGAUUUAAAGUAUGCUUGUCAACUUAUCUGACUGUCGCAUCAGAUGAUUCAUGAAGCAAAUUCUUGACACUGGUUAAUCAAUCAAAUUUGUAUACCAAUAUUCUUUAAUCUCAGGCAUCUUUCAUGUGGUGUGUUGGGCUGGUUUGAAGUCUUUGGUUUCCUUAGGUUAUUUGCAUUGUAUAGUUAAUAUCAUUAGUCAUACAUAUGUGAAUAAGCAGCAAAUUUUUUUCCAUCCAAUAUGCGUAUACUUCAUUCCGUUUCUGUUGUCUCCUUUCCCUUGUAGCAGCGUGCAUUUGGUCCAUCAACUGUUCCUUGUUGCAGGCUUAUUUUGGUUUAGGGUGCGUUAACAUUCACCUUUUCACUUUUGUAGAAAUUCUUAAAACGGCCAGAACUUUCACCUCCCCCCCCCCCCCACCCCCGGCGACAAAAAACCAAAAGAAAAACACACACACAGCAGCAUCAAUGGACACACACUGUUUCUUAUGCCUACAUCAAGACGCGGUGUCUGUUGGAGGCUGGCGGUAAAAUGCCUACAGUUUAAACUCCACAGUCCACAUAGUUUUGCACAUUCAUGCAGCACUCAAAAUAUUUUACAUUUCGAGACAAAAAGGUGAUUAUGGAACAGCUUUAUCUUCUCCGCAGGUGUUGCAACCUUUUUCCAAUGUUGUAAAAUCUAAUACGCCGCGUCGCGGAUGCGGGUCGGUACUAUGGCGAUCCUACCUUCCCCUAAAGCGAAUCGAAGGGUUUGGCGAACUGCCUGCUCAACUCUCGUAAGGACUACUGAUCCGAAACAUAUGUAAAUCCUACCGAACGCGUAACUAAACUUCAAUUCUUUCCAACGGAUACAAGAAAAGUAUACAUAGCCAGCGAAUCAUGCAUUUCCGAAUCAUGCAUUUCAAUUAAUAUACGGAACCAUACACUUGCCUAAAUGUAUACAUUGGAGUUUUCAACAAGUUAACUUGAAGUUCAAGUCAGAAUAGUCAUAAUGUAUCAAAGUAUACCUAGGGUUUACUAUUAUAAAGGAGCGUAAACAAAAGAAUGUCUACCACUAGCUCGACUUUUUCUUCCAAAAAUCAUAGUUUCCAAAACAUUGAACCCUGUAAGGAAAACAAAGAUAACGGAAAGGGGGUAAGAUAGAAACUCAAUGAGGUACCACAAGUACAAGCAGUCUAGAAUCAUGGAACUCACUUUGGAGGCAAUUAUACAUAUCAACUAAGGAAUUGAACAAACACCUCAAAUAAAAGGAUACAUGUGGCUCUCAAGAGUCAAAUUUCCAUUGCAGUACUUAAUCUACACGCGUUGACUCUCCGUUAAUGUUUGAAGAACAAACAUGACCGUAGACCCCACUUUACACCAAAUUUCAUCCACCAAACAUGCCUCUUACCGGGCUCAAACACCUCAACAGGACCAGGGAUGGUAAUACUCGAGUAUACCGGAAAUUUAGAGUCUCCAAUACCCAAAAAUUUCCCAGGAACAAGCCCCCAUGGAUUGUCAAUUUUUCUCGACCAAACCCUUGCUAGUUCGAUUCAGUUAACUCCCCAUGAGAUUGAGUUCAGAUUUCACAGGCACAGGGAGAUCGUUGGAUACAAGCUUCAAACGACAUCACAUCAGGCACAGGCAACAGAUUCAAGUUUAUACAGUAAACUAGUCACACAGGCCAAAGAACGAGUGUGAUAAAGUACACUCUCGUCUCGUACAGAUAAACAGAUGGUACAGGCAUUCCAGUCACAAAUUUCAAGUACAGAUAAACCAAUUAACAACGAAUCAUGGGCGUGGUACACUCACCAGUUCAAACAAGGAUAACUUCAAAAGUUUCCUUUCAAAGGAUGCCUUUAAUCACUGGCACGUCCUAGAACAGCCAAGGAAAACCAUUGAAACUCGAUUACGAGUCGUAUGCCUAUCCAAUGAACUACUUUCACUCGCAGGCAAAGUGUUACGAGUCGUAUGUCAUAGUAAGUAACAGGGUGCUAAAGGUAACAAGAUAACAAAGUAACCAGGCAACAAGUGAAAUUAUGACACGAGUGAUUUUAAGACUUUAAAACUCAAAGGUAACAAGAUAUAAAUUUACCUUUCAAACCAGAAUUUUCGCAGCCAUGACACAAGUGAAAUCAUAAGAUUGCUUACCUCCUAAUCGAAAUAGUUUUCACUCAAAUUUAAGCACAAAGGUUUAACCAAUGUUUGGAAAAAAUUUUGGCCAAAACUAAAUCAUGAAAAGAUUAAAAAACAAAGGUAAUAGACUUCGCUAUCACUUGACCAACAAACGGAAAUUUCAGCCAACUACUUGGAGGAAAAUACCAAUGCAAAUCCUUCCAUUUCAACCAAAAUUCAACAUUUAAGUAAAAUUUAUAGAUAUACCAAGUAUCGUAAGCAAGUUUGUCAGCAAAUCGAUCUAAAUUUGAAGGAAUCAAGUAGCCCUAAAAUUUUGGACAGCAUGCUCUUUGUAUUUCGCUAUUUUUAAGCCAUUUAUGACUUCAUUUUUUUUCCUCAACUCAGCCCAAUUCAACACAUAAGUAAACUUAAUACAAUAGCUUUUUAACUAGGCUCAAUGUUAUCCAAUUACAAGACAAGUCUAACAAUGCGAUCGGAAACAAGUUUUAAAAACAAAUAGCUAAACAACAGAUUGGACGUCUUAUAGCAUUUUGGUCACAACUGAAGUUAUGCUCAUUGGAUUGGGGUACACUUUAUGCCGUUUUGAAACUAAGACAGAGAACUACAUUUUCUAUGGAGACAUCAACACCCAAAUCGUGUAUUUUUAAGGUCAAAAUGUGCAAUCUCAGAGAGCACAGAAAGGCAGUCAGGAGUAUUUUAGUCAUUUCACAUGCUACAGUGUUCCAAUUGAGCUGAAAUUUUGCAGGCAACUAGUUAACUCCAUUCCCUACAACUUUCAUGUUUUGACCUAGACCUGAUUCAGCCUCUUACAUACUCAGAUAUACAGGUCAGAAACAGGACAGAUUUCUCUUUAAAUUCAUUUACUUUCCACCCUACAAUCACAUCACCAAUCUCAAAUCAAAUCAAUCACAAUUGCACACACAACACAUAAGUUAUAAAAUAUACCUAACUAGGGCCACAAUACCCUUCAAUUUGAACUAAGUGAUAGCUCCAAAACCAACCACAAUAAAGUCCCAAUUUGAAACCCUAAAGCUGAAAUUUAACCACACAAGCUGAAAUUUUCGUAAGCAACCAAAACUAGCAUAUAAAAGUUUCAUUUUACACAUAACAAAGCUAUCAUUUCAUGGCAAUUGUUCAAGCAUCAAUUAAAACCAGAAAAUUCACCAAAAAUUUGAAUUUCCCAAGUCACCACUUUCUUCAUGAAUUUUUUCCAUAAAACUAUAAAACUCACAACUCUAAACUACUAAUUGACAAUUAAUUGAAGUAGAGGGAAAUUCUAGCCAAUGUUACCUUGUUCCUCCAAGAAAGCUAGAAGCUUAGUGCUUUCCCUUCCAAAAUCACUCCACCACAAGCUUUAAUCUUCCCUAAAGAGCAACUUAUAUGGAGUAGUUUGCAAUUUAAUCGGUUGAAAUUCAAGAUUUGAGCAAGAAAUUGAAGUGGAAGUUGAAGGAUUUUCUCUUGUUUUUUUCUCUACAAGGUUCGGUCAAGAGGGGAUGAAAAGUGAGGAAAGUUUGGUCAAAAUUGGUUUUAAGAAAGUUAAGAAACCUUUGGUCAAGUCCAACUUCGAAUUGGAUCGCGCCACUUAGCACCUUGAAUGUUUAAUCUCAUCCUCUUGCUUACCAAUGAUUAAUUAUCUAAUUAAUCUCUAAUUAUCUUCUAAUACUUGGUAAAAUAAUAUCCCUUAAUCCAAAACUUUAUCUAGUCGUCAAAAUUUAUCGUACUUAACGCACUAGUGAGUCCCACCCACGUCCAAUAUACACUAUUAAUGUCACAUGAACUAACUUAUACCGAAAAAAUAUCUUGAAAACUUAAUUUUCUUAUAAAAAUAGCUAGAAAAAUAAUAUAAUAAAGAAAAGUAUAGAAAAAGUAUGCAUGGAAUUAAAAUAAUGGCUAGAAAAUAAAAAAUUUUCGGGUUCACACAAGUAUAGUUAUCAAUGCCAAAUUUUGCUUGACUUCUGGAUGUCGGGGACAAGCACAACUUGGCUUUUGUGGAAUCAUUGACAUAUGCGGAGUAUGAGACUUUAAUCUCAUUCUUAAACAGGUUUUCCAAAUAAUACCCAUCAACAGACACAAAGCCACGAUUCACCAUUUUUCUAUGGAUUACAGCUCCGACCAAACAAAGGCAUAAAAGACUAGAGUUGGUGAGGUCAAUGGUGGUUGCAUCGUCAUCAUGCUUUUCACCAAACAUUGCUAAUAUAAAAGCAAGAAAUUGCUUGUCGGUGUAUAUGUAGCAGUCUAAUAAAAUCCGAAUAUGUAUGUAGUAAUGCAAUUCUUCCUCUUAUCCUUAACUGGACAUCAAAUUCUAAUGGAGACUUCUUUGUUUAGCAUACCGAAAUAUUCCACUGCUAAUGACGGAUUCAGAGCCAGACAUGCACCCGAUCCCUUGAAAUCUCUCUCUAUUCCCACAUGAAUGCAUUGCCGUGUUGACCUUAAACUAUGAAGUUUGGUCGUUGCCAAGACAUGACAAUCACCAAACCAACCUCAGUGAAACAGGGAUAUUAUUAUUAUUCUUAUUUUAAAAAAGAAGGAUUUAGUUGGUGGUGUUCAUGUAUAUGUGAAUUGAGAAACUAUACAAUAAUGAUGUGUGAUGACGUUAGGGUCGAACUGGUAGGAUGCUUGGAGUUGAAAGCGUCGAUGGGGGCUCUUACCCUCAAUGAUGAUCAUCAUGGGGUAGGCUGGGUAGCACGAAUGCAGAAUAACAAACCUACCCCUGUAUUCUGCUCCAGUCUACCAUGCGAGACUGCUUUAUUGGUGAUUGACUUUAUCUGUCAUCAACAGUUAUGAUAUUCGUGGGAAGCGAGUUGCAUUUGAUAAAAAAGAAACGUAAAUUAGAACAGAGCCCAUAAUAGGGAGGUGCUACCUGCUUAUUUUGUCUGCAGCUUUUUCUUUUUCUUUUUCUUUUUUUGUCUGCAGCUUAAUCGUAAAGGCAGACAGAAACCAUUAUAUUAAUUAUUUGCAUCAUGCAUAUAUUUGAUGAGAGAGCUGAGGAAGAAACAGAUUCUAGUGCUGCAAUGGAACCAAUAAUGAGUCUUGAGAUAGAGGAAAAGGAAGAUAAGCAGCGAAAGCGAGUUGGUGGGAAAAAGAUUUGCGGGAGGAGCUGGAAUGAAUCGAAGAAAAUGUGGGAGAUUGCAGCUCCGGCUAUACUUACAGCGGUAGCUCAGUUUUCUUUCGAGUUUGUCACGGCUGCAUUCAUUGGCCAUUUGGGGGAAGUCGAGCUUGCUGCUGUCUCCGUUGUGCAAAAUGUCAUUGAAGGCUUUGUAUAUGGAAUAAUGGUACGUCAUAUCUGACACCAUCUCUCAUGUUUGUGUUGCAUUGCAUAUCAAAAUUUGUGUCUCUACUCUCUAGAAUGAAGAGAUCGUGGAAAUGCUGGGAAGUUUUGUUCUAAAUUCACAUGAAAUUACGAACUCCUCAUUUGUCUCUUGUUUUAAAUUAAACAAUAUAUAUAUUUUUUAACAUGGUUGGAUUUGCAAUAAUAUCUUCUGUUUUUAUUUGGUGUAUUAGCUAGGAAUGGGAAGUGCCCUUGAGACCCUCUGUGGUCAGGCUGUUGGAGCAGGACAAUUUGAAAUGCUUGGGGUGUACAUGCAGAGAUCCUGCAUAAUUACUUUAGUUACUGCAUUGCUGUUAUCACCGUUUUACAUCUUCACAGCACCAUUGCUAAAGCUGCUUCACCAAGAUCCAAGAAUUUCCCAUCUUGCCGGGAAAUAUGCUCUGUGGGUGAUUCCUCAAUUGUUUGCAUACGCAUUGAACUUCCCGAUACAGAAGUUUCUUCAAGCUCAAAGCAAAAUAUGGGUCAUGACGAUAAUUUCAUUGGUGAUGUUGGGAAUUCAUGUUCUGUUGAAUUGGAUUUUUGUGACAAUGCUUGGGCAUGGCCUGCUUGGUGCGGCUGUUGCUGGAAACGUCUCUUGGUGGCUUAUGGUAUUGGCUCAGAUAAUAUAUGUCGUCGGAGGGUUUUUCCCUGAAGCAUGGACCGGAUUUUCUUCAUUAGCAUUCAAACAACUUGCUUCAUUCGUCAAGUUCUCUCUUGCAUCAGCCAUCAUGCUAUGGUCCGUACCUUUUUGACUUCAUAAAUGCUAAAGAUACUUCGUUUUGACUUCACAAAUAUACUGAUGCUAUCCUCUGUGAUGUUGUCAGCUUGGAGCUUUGGUAUUAUACUGUAGUGAUCCUUAUGGUAGGCUGGUUAAAGAAUCCGGAAAUUGCAGUAGAUGCUGUAUCAAUCUGGUUAGUGCCUUUUUCUUGGUUCUUUUUGUUUCUUAGUGAUUACUGGAAAGGUGGUUGGCCGUUUGGCCUCAGAAUUAAUGUGGGUGCUUGCUUACACUCCGUUCUUUGGCUGUUGCAGCAUGAACUUGCAACUAUGGACGCUGAUGAUCGCUCUAGGUUUCAAUGCAGCCGUUAGGUAAGAGAUCUUCCCAAUCAGAAAAAGAUGGCAAAGCAAUGUAUUAAUAUGCAUUAACAACUUUUUUUUUUUUUUGCAUCACAUUUUCCAGCGUACGUGUUUCAAAUGAACUUGGAGCUGGACGCCCAAAAGCUGCAAAAUUCUCAACCGUGGUGGCCGUCACCACAUCCACGAUAUUUGGGAUAAUUUUCACGGUCAUAAUUCUUGCAACAAAGGGACAGUUCCCCAGAAUCUUUUCUGACAAACCUGAGGUCAUAAGGGAGACAUCCAAGUUAGGCUAUUUCCUAGCAGCAACAGUCUUCCUCAAUAGCAUCCAACCUGUGCUUCAUGGUAACAGCUUGAAUUGCCUAGACUUUUAGACAUUUAUGAAUUGGCGAAUCAUAAAUAAUCAUAAACCGAAAUUGAAAUUUGGGAUUGCAGGAAUGGCAGUUGGAGCAGGGUGGCAGUUUUCAGUGGCACUGGUGAACGCUGGGUGUUACUACGUAUUUGGCCUUCCUUUCGGUGCCUUGCUGGGUUACAAAUUCAAACUCGGCGUAAAAGGCAUCUGGGCAGGGAUGUUAGCCGGUUGCCUGCUUCAAACAGUCAUUUUGGUUGUGAACGUUUUCCGGGCUAACUGGAGCAACGAGGUUCGGAUUGCAAUUUUAACUUUCCAUUACUUGAUUUUCAUCCAUGAAAAUGACGAGAGGACUUGGAAAAGAAAUUCUGUCCUGGGAUUUUUCAACCUGCAUCGAGCAUAUUGAUUUGAUAGUCAAAAAGUAAAUACCUAAAGUUGAUUUUUUUAGGGCAUAAACUAAGAAACAACGCCGCAACGAGUGUCGCAAAAAAUGGCUUACAAAAGACUUUGUAUUCUAUUGAAACCAAAAAUGAGUUUAUGUUAUUCAAACAUCAACUCACAAACUCAUGAAACAAAUUAACACAAUUUCUGACUCACAAUUAUUAUAAAAAAAAAAUCUCAAUAAAAUUACUUGAUAACAUGAUCUUUGAUUAAUAAAUAUCAUAACAACAAGAUUUAUUUAACUACUAACUAAAUUGUUUUAGUACCAAACACAGUCUAGUAAAAUUUGCAAAAGUUGGCAUGCGUCAACAAAAUAAGCCAGUAUAGGUGGGCGUAUCAGCAAAGUCGUUUUUGCUUGUUUACUGUUGGAAGAGAUGGGAGUAGGUGAAGUAGGUGGUGUUUUCUGGUGCAGGCAUUGCAAGCAGAAGAGCGGGUGAGGUCGUAUGCAGUAACGCCGCUGCCCCAUGAUGAGAUUGACGCAAUUGAGAUGUUGGAUGCUCCGACUUCCUGCUAAUGCUCAAAGUCUUUUAGGUGCAGCUCUAAUGGUCUUCCUUCCAACUUGUACAACCUCCCUUGAUUCCAUUGCUUGGAUCCGCUUUCCUCUAGGCUUCAGUAGCAGAGUUUCUUCGGGCCCAACUUAUCAUUAUUAUUUUGUUUCCACGUCUGCUUCAUUGAAAAUACUCUUUUGAGUGUUUUAGCCGGAGUCGGUCGAAGACUUUUAAAUCAGAAAAGGUGCAAGCAAAUGAAAAAAAACUUGAUCAUCCGUGACAACUUCUCGUGCAGCUCUCUCUAUCUUAAAAGUUGAAAGACGCCCGUCCCCCCGUCUUCCCAAACCAAAUGUACGGACGGUAUGAAAAAGCUCUCCAUCUUUAAGAGGUUGCUGCUUUUUAAGAUACUUGAACGGCUGGAACAAACACGGAUGACGUUGAGUGAAUAAACUCUGCUUGCUUUUACUAGCGAGUGAAUAGGUUUUAACCAAUCUCUUUUACUAUCUAUCAAUACUUUCCAGAGCUGACAGAUUAUGUCAAGAUUUCGCUCUGGGAAUGGUGAUCAACUUUGUCUCAAAUUUGGUAUGGGAACAGAAGUGCUGGACGCUGAAUAACAUGAUGGAGAAAGUCGACAUAAAAUGCCAAAAAUAAGAUAUCACCUGCAGUUUCUGGUAGACCCCCUAACUCUAAGAAGAAACCAUUCGAUGGAUGUGGAAGCAAUAGGCAAUUUUGCUUAAUGAAAAACGUUGAAGUUCAUUAGGGGGGUGACAAUCUUGUCAACUUAGGCGGGCACCAAACCCAUCUUUUUCACACUAGUUGGUGGGUAUUUUUUGGCUGCCAUAACUAAUAAAAUGCCCGACGGAAGAGCAAACUAGCAAGUCUGCCGCUAAUAUAUCAAAAAUUCAACCUUCAUAGGAAGAAAAAAAUUAAGGAGGCCAAUACAAACUCAACCAAUACAGCCGCAAUUUGCUCUUAAUGAUUAUCUUUAGACCCCAUAGUAGGUGAGUUAUUAUAAAACGUGGUGACAACCCAGUUCUCAGCAACAUUCUUCAUUUCCUGACAUAUAUAAGUCAAACAAAUCAGUGGGACAAAGAGAAUCUACUCUUUCCUUUUUUUGUUUUCCGAAAUACAAAAAACAGGCCUGGAACUCUGGUCGUCAGGUAAUAAAAUUUAAGGGUGAACGGAGCAAAAGAAAAUCAUCUUGAAUGGAGGAACAACAUCCUGAACUUAGCAGACAGGUGACUGAGAUUCUACACAAGAGAAAGACCCCAGAGAAGUUGUGGAAGGAGACAAAGAAGACAUGGGACAUCGCCCUACCAGCUAUAAUAACAGCAGUUACACAAUUCUCCCUCGAACUUGUCACUUCUGCCUUUGCCGGACAUCUGGGAGAUGCUGAGCUUGCUGCAGUCUCUGUGGUUCAGAAUGUUAUAGAUGGCUUUGUCUAUGGGGUCAUGGUAUGUUUUUAUACCAUACUUUUAUUUGAGCACUAAAGAAUGAUGAUACUACUAUAUUUCUCUGUGUUGCUUCCUUCAUGAAGCUUUCGGGAAACUUAUAAGGUUCAGCCAAUUUUCAUUUUUUUUUCCCACUUGUAGAAUGCAUCAGUACUUUUGUUUCUUUUCGAGUCAGCUUGUUAGAAAGUUUAUUAAAUUUUAACAUGUGACAAGAAGUAAAAUAUACUUGUACCAGAGGUGGAAUUUUCAGUUGCUCGUGCCUAACAUUCAAUGACUUUCUCUGUUUUUGUAUAAUCUUUCCUUCGUAGUUGGGGAUGGGUAGUGCUCUUGAAACCCUUUGUGGUCAAGCGGUCGGUGCUGGACAAGUUGGCAUGCUUGGAAUCUACCUGCAGAGGUCAUGGAUCAUCACCAUCGUCACAGCUUUGUUCUUGACUCCUAUUUACGUGUUUGCCUCGCCCAUACUCAAGCUUUUACACCAAAACAGAGAUAUCUCCAACCUUGCCGGUAAAUUUGCACUGUGGGUGAUACCUCAGCUGUUUGCAUAUGCUCUGAACUUCCCCGUACAGAAGUUCUUCCAAUCUCAAAGCAAAGUUUGGAUGAUGACGAUGCUCUCUAUAGCGUCAUUGGCGCUCCAUGUGUUACUAAAUUGGGUUCUCGUGACGAAGCUCGGCCACGGCUUGCUCGGUGCUGCAAUGGCAGGAAACAUCACAUGGUUUCUGCUGGAUAUAUCCCAAAUAAUCUAUGCAAUAUCAGGUUGUUUUCCAGAUGCAUGGAACGGCUUUUCCUGGUUAGCUUUUAAGUCACUGACCAACUUUGUCAAGCUCUCACUUGCGUCAGCAAUAAUGUUAUGGUGAGUGAUGAAUACUAGCAACUUACAGACUUUAUAUAAAAAAUCCGAAAGUGUAAACAGAAACAGAAACUUUGGCAGCUUGGAAUUAUGGUACUUUACAGCAGUUAUCCUGAUGGUAGGAGGUUUGAAGGAUGCUGCAGUCGCAAUCGAUGCCAUAUCAAUCUGGUUAGUUCCGUAUUCUCUUUUCUCACCUCCAGUGGAGUAUAAUAGGAAAACUUAGUCUUUUCUAUCCACCUUGUUCUACAGUCUUAAGGAACAAUGACAGAUAACCAUCUUGUUGCACCUUCUGUGGAUGUAACAGUAUGAACUUGCAGCUAUGGACAAUGAUGAUUGCCGUAGGCUUCAAUGCAUCGGUCAGGUAUGUCAUUUAUCUUCAAGAUAAAGAUUAUUGCUAAAAUACAGAUGAAAUAAUGACCUAAAAAUCUUGUGGAGAGAGCAACACAGGACCGACAACCUUCAGAUACAUUUCACCUUACCUUUAUCAACAAGCAGAUUUUGCACAUACACUGUUGAAACGUUUUGAAUGAGUUCUGAAGCAAAUGCUGCUGUCUGCAGGAUUAAAAUUUAAGGGUGAAAAGGAGUGAUUCAAUUCAUCUUCUAAUUUUGUAAAUUAAGUAGCAGUAUUAUAUCGGUCAUUCCAACAAAAAGAGAAACUUCUUGAUGGGGUUGAUUUUGCAGUGUAAGAGUGUCAAAUGAACUCGGAGCCGGGAAACCAAACGCUGCAAAGUUCUCAAUCAUAGUCAAUGUUUUGACAUCUGGGAUACUUGGAAUUGUCUUUGCCGCAAUCAUCAUUGGCACAAAAAGCAAGUUUCCCUUAUUGUUUACAGAUAAGGCACAGGUCAUAAAAAAGACAUCCAAGCUGGGAUACGUUCUCGCAGCAACCAUAUUCCUCAACAGCAUCCAACUAGUUUUAAACGGUUGGUUUUUGUAUAUUAUCUAGCAUCUAAAACAUUACUUCAGUACAAGAUUGACAAAGUUCUGAAUUCAUCAUCAUCAUCAUCAGUUGUCUUAAUUAAGAAUUUUAAGACAAGAAAAACAAGAUGCAUAUUAUAGUAUAGCUGCUCAUCUAGGUAUUAGCAAAAAGUGCUCAAAAAGCUGCUUGUUAUCAUAUUUAUGUACUACUAGUAUGAAUCCAGAAAAGAAUUGAUUGUUCUAGGGAUCAUUAAUUGCAGGGGUAGCUGUUGGUGGAGGAUGGCAGUUCUCAGUAGCAUUGCUUAAUAUAGUGUGCUAUUAUGCAAUCGGGCUUCCAUUUGGAGCAGUGCUUGGCUACAAAUUCAAUCUGGGGGUGCAGGGCAUCUGGUGGGCAAUGUUCGGCGGUAGUCUUCUCCAGACUGUCAUCCUGUUAGUCAUCAUAUCUCGAACAAAUUGGCAUAAAGAGGUAAAUAUAAAACUCAACCCCAACAGAAGUGAACAGUAAAGAAUCCAGGGGAAGGGUUUAGAGGGUUGGUAAUCUGAUUUUACUGGAUUACCUAAUUAUCCAAUGAUGCAAUGCAGGCUGUGGAAGCUGAUGACCGUGUGAAAACAUGGGGAGGAGCCACCGCCCCAACGGACCUGCCUCAACCUCAAGAAACUACCUGACAUUUCUGCACUCCGAACCGGUUGCUGCCCGAAUGGCAAUUACUAUUGGGCCGUCAGCCGGUUUGAUUUCAUCAGUCUUUCAGCCAGAAUUGGAGUUAAAAUUGACCGGAUCAACUCUGUUUCGGUCAAGCAAAAAGGAAAAAAAUUGCCCGGAUAAUGUUGAUCAUGUAAUUUACUUCAGCACGUACUUUAUCUCAAAAGGAAAAAAAAAUAAACAAAGAAAGGAUUUGAAUCACUGUUAAUUGCUCAUUGUCUUACUAGAUCAAACCAAAUUAGCUUCGUUGCAAUCUGAAGCGAGGAACUCAAAACUCGAAAUAAACAAGUAAAAGAUACAAAGCUCGCGUUUCUUGUCUCCCCAACUUCUAAGAACACUCCUGUCCUGUCAAAAAAAAAAAAGCUAAGAACACUUUUUUAGGUACCCCGCAGAAAGUUUGUCUUUAAUUAUCUAAAGAUCAAAACUUGUCCCUUUAUCAGAAAUUCUCUAGGCCGUGCACUUGCUGUUUGUGCAAACUCCAGGACGUCAGUUGUCAGUUGUCACCUGAGAAGAGAGAGCAGUAGAGAGGAGAAAAGACAAGAGUCGGAUUCUUGAAUGGAGGAAAACCAUCAUGAAUCAGGGACUGAGCAACGGCCCAGGAGAAGAGUUCAUUCAAGUAAAUGGUAGGCUGAGUCUAAAAAGACGUGGAAAAUAGCUUUGCCAGCCAUGCUCACUUCAGUCUCUCAAUUCUCUAUCGACUUUGUGUGCACAGCCUUCGCUGGACAUCUAGGAGCUUUGCGACUUGCUGCAGUCACUGAGGCUGAGAAUGUCAUAAUUUGCUUUGCCUAUGGGGUAAAUGGCAUGUUUUCUGUUGUCCAACUGUUUGUCUGUGAUUAUCACUCUUCAUCUUCUGUUCAUUUUACAUGUUUUGGGGUGGGAUGCUACUUCAUAUUAUUUUCUAAUGGUCAAAAUCCUAUGCUGCAGGAGCAGCACCCUUCAAUCAUCUCUGAUUGUUGAAUCCUAACAUUUUGUAUCAUUUUCCGAAAGAAUUUCGUUUAGUUUUUUUCCUCCUCCGUCUUGAAUUGCAGCCAGUUAUAUAUAUUAGUACUAGCUCUCAACAUGCAAUCUGAACUCGAGAAGACUUUGCACUCCUAGAGAAGAACAAGCACGACCUGGCACAUGCAUUAUGUAACAUCUCUAAUAUAUGUAAUCAUCGUAAUGUAGCGAAUCUAAAGUUGCAGCAACAAUGUAACCUCGAUACAACGGAUUGACUCUGCAAUUCUUUUCUGUUUUUCCUAUUUCUUCCCUAGUAGUUUGGGAUGGGAAGUGCCCUUGAAACACUCUCCAGUCAAGCAGUUGUGGCCGAAAAGUUCAACAUGCUUGGAAUCUACUUGCAGAGGUCAUGGAUCAUAGCUCUGAUAACACCUCUCGAAUUUACUUUUUUACAUCACCAAUACUAAAGGUUUUACACCAAAACAAAGAUAUAUCAAACCAUGCUGGUAAAUAUUCGGUGCUGGUGAUUCCUCAAUUGUUUGCCUGCGCUUUAAACUUAUCCCAUAACAGAAAUUUGUCCAAUCUCAGAGCAAAAUCUGGGUCAUGACCAUGCUUUCUAUUGCGUCACAGGCAAUCUCUGUGUUGUUAAAUUGCGUUCUUGGUACAAAGCUUGGAUAUUCCUUAGCUUAAAUUUAAUUUAAAAAAAAAAAAAAAAAAAAGUCUAACAUCUUUCGCUGUGAGUGAUGCUAUAUAUUGUUCACUACUUCCUUAAUCUUGCAACUGGGGAGAGGGCUGGAGUUGAACAUACAACUAAAAGAGUUCUCUGCAUUCAUGUCUGUCAUCCACACUAUACAGGAAGCCUUGAAACUGGCUUGGAUGUGGAAUGGUUGUUUGCACUGGCUCCAAAGUAAAUGGUCAAAUCCCACAUGAUUUUUAGGUGAAAAUUGAGUUUUAAGACAUGGUUCAUCAGCCCACCUUAAAGCAUAUUAAUUAAUUUGGAUAGCGCCAGUUGAAGAACGGAUAAAUUACAUGGGGAUGGCACAACGCAGCCCCAAGAAAGUUCCUAAUUGAGUUGAACUGAAAUAGAGAGAGCAUCCAAGUGAGGCAUUUCAGUUAAACGGUCACAAGGAGUUGGAAAUCAUAGAUAAGUUCUUUCCACCAGCCGUGCAUUUGCAAUCAAACUAGGAUCCUGGCUUUUGGCAAUCAUUUGUGUAGGAUAGUUAAAACCUUUGAUUCAAGUACAACUUUGAAUCUUUGGCCUUCAGCUUUUAGAAACGUAAAAGCAUUGAUGUUAAUCGAAGAGGUGAAGGUUUAACGAGAGCACAACUUGAAAAAUCAAUUCCACAAAUAUUCACGUCCUCGGAAUUGUUGUCAUCCUUUUUGCACGUUUCAGAUCAGUAUAUUAGCCUCGGUGUGUUGCCACUUUUCCAAUUCACAGCUGCUGAACGACAACGAACUGUCUUUUCGAGAUAACAAUGCAUGUAAAAAACUUUCAUCGUGGCUAGUAAUUGUUUUCUAGAAUGUAUUUUGAGGUAUUUUUAAAAUUUAAAAUUUUAUUGAAAUAUUUUUAAAAUUUUAUAAAACUUCACCAUCCCUUCUUCCUCCCGCAACCCCCUCCCCCUGCCCCAUUUUCUGGAUGGAGGAGAGAAGGGAGGGAAAGAGGAGGAGAAGGAAAAGGAGGAGAGAAUGGAGGGAAAAAUCGGAAUGAAAAGGGAGGACAGGAGGUGGAGGUGGUCUGUGGUGGAUGAUGGAUGAAAGAAGAAAGAAGGGUUAGGUUUUUUUUUUUUAUGUAUAUUUGAAAAACUUGUGUUUUAGAAAUUGUUUUUACUUCCUAUAUUACUAUAGCAUUUUGUGUGUGAAGAACUAGCUUAUGAAAAACAAUCAAAUUCAAACGGAGCCACAGUAUUGUGUACAUCUACAAGGUCGUCCUGUUUAUACUACAUAUAUUGCCUCUCGUAACUUUGAGUUUCAGCUGGUUUUACAGAUAAACAAGCAAUACUACCAUAUUUUCCUGCAAAACUAAUUCAUGCCAGCUGCAGGACUUCUUCCCGUUUGAUGUCAAAUACCUUGACAAGGACAUCCUCGACGACCUGGCCAAGUGCAUGGUGAGGAGACAAAAAAAUUGAAUCCCACAAAUCAGGUAAUUGAACGUUCGACCUUAUAAAUAUUAAUUGAGGACCUCCAACAAGAUUAGGAAAUUACCUUAUCAGGGGUGGAUGCACCAGAUGUUACCCUAUGGUGAUGGGACCUUCAGGUAGAAAAUUCUCUUUCUCAACCAACUCCCCAUGCUGUUAGAUGACACAAAAAUUUUAAUAGAAUGAGAGAAGAUUUUAUAAUUCAGAAAUCACUUGAAAUGACAAGAAGUUAUUCACGUUCACGUUCACAUACCAUUAACUUGUAAGCUAUUCUGUUUCCAGGACCUAUUCUCUGCUCGCUGUCAAUCCAAUAAGAUGGAAUUCCACGAUCUUCAGCAAUUUCUUGUAAAUGUGAAGUGUUGCUUGAGUUCCACCCUCCAAUGACCAGCAUAAGAUCCAGUGGAUUCUCAACCAGCUUGUACAUGGCAUCUUGCCGCUCCUGAUACAAGGCAAUAUUAGCUCACUACAAGAGGAGAAGUAUGAAUUCUGAGACAAUAAAAUACAAUAGGACUAAGCUUCAUGCUAGUGGCCUUUUCCGCCAGAUUACUUGCUCUUGACCCAGCGUACACAAAUGCCCAAGAAGAGGGCUGAAACGUACGAAAAUUCUUAAAAGCAAGCCUCUUCCAAAAAAAAAAAGAUAAUAAUAAUAAUAAUAAAUCAGUUCUUAAUUCAAGCAACGAGUCAGGAAAUAAACAACCAGCGUUAUAAGCCCUCGUAAACAAGCAUCAACUAUGGACACCCUAGGAUGAUUGAUCAGGAGGCAUGUAUGAUGUUCAUAAUUAUGUUCUGUACCAGUGUAAUGCUAUGCUACAUAAUGCAGGGGGAGGUGAUCUUAAAAGCACUAGUUACUUCAAAAAACUUGAACCUAGAGAUCCCAAAGAUCUUUAACUUGGCAAACUAAAUCAAAGGCAGAAGAGUAUGCUACAUAAACUAAUCCAUCCACGAAGAUGAUUGUAGGUUUCUGCAGAAACAUCUGGAAGGAGGGAGAAUCAAAUUGUGCACGUAAAUGAGAGGAAAGUCGAGUUUGAGCCUUCAAUAUUCUUAAGAAACUAGUUUUUCAAAAAAUGAAUGAAGGAAAAUAAUAGAAUGAGGAGAUGAAAUGUACUUGAGUUGCAUCGCAGAUGGUGUUGAAACUAAGGAAGUGGGUGUUAAUAUUUUCCACUCCAUACUUGCGCAUCAUGGUCCUUUCCACUAAUUUACCUGUAUUUCCAGAACCAAAUCACCAUCACAGUUUUCCAUUCAUUGACAAAUCACGGAACUAUAGCGUAGAAAACCAACUAACCAAUCUCUUCAGUUUCUCCCUUCAACAUUGUUGUUUGGUUUGCAAUACCAAGUUUGACAAGAUCAGCAUCGGGAUCAAAACCAUUCGAAACUCCAUGUUUGAAUUUCUGCAGCAAAACAAGGAUACAUGAGAUACUAGGAGGGUAUAAACAAUUUCAGCCAAUGAAACGUAAGUGAUUCGAACUGCACCUCCAUAAACGCCUCUUUGGUUGAGCUAGAUCCAUCCAGUUGACCCCCAAGAAUGUAAUCACAAACAUAUGUUGCCUGAAUCAAGUGUAGAAACUUGUUUAAUCUGAACUCUACAGGUGCAUGUUCUUUAUAUUUCAUAAUCAAGAUGCCGCUUUCAAAUAAACAAUAAAAACAGUUAAAUAUACCUCUGCCAUGUUCUUCACUAUGAUAUACUUUCCAGCAAAUGAUGCAGUGGCAACAGUCUCCUCGUGUGAGUGUUUACCAUGGAUUAUCGACGUAUAGGCUCCAUUCUUAUGCUUUUCAACAGUGUUCCAAACCUUGACAAGGAUGCAAAUAUUGGAUGCUCUUGAGUGGAGUGUAAUUGUGGAAUUACAUUAACAAUUUAUAGGCUACUAAGCUAGUAAGAAACAUACCUUAGAAACCCAAGGGCAGGUUGUGUCGACUAUUUGCACAUUCUUGUCGCUCAAAGUCAACAUCUCAUCUACAGCAGCUCCAAAAGCAGGCAAAACCACAACAUCACCCCUGUCAACAACAUCAAAGUGUUUCUUGCCGUCCUCAACAGGGAUUUCCUUUAUUGCCAUCUCCUCCAGUCGCUGGUGUAAUACAGUUGAUCAUGAAAUGGUAUAAUCAGCCAAAAUGAGAAGGAAAGGACAGAACAGUAGCAUAGCAAAGACUUGACCACCCAGUUAACUCAAGAAACACAGGCAGGAAAAGCAGCCCAACAAAAUCGAAAAUAUUUGUAGACCAAGUGAAUGGAUUAUAUCAAAGUAGCAUAGCAAAGACAUGACCACCCAGUUAACUCAAGAAAUACAAGCAGGGAAGGCAGCCCAACAAAAUCGAAAAUAUUUGUAGACCAAGUGAAUGGAUUAUAUCAAGGUAGCAUAGCAAAGACAUGACCACCCAGUUCAGUUAACUCGAGAAAUACAGGCAGGGAAAGCUGCCCAACAAAAUCGAAAUAAUUGUAGACCAAGUGAAUGGAUUAUAUCAAAGUUUUGGGGGAACUAAGACCUUAUUAACGGUAGGAUUGUGGAUAAUCUCAUUUGUGAGCCAGAUCUUCUCUGUUGGAAACUGCUUUCUAGCUUCAUAAGCAAUCUGAACAGCUCUUUCAACUCCCCAGCAAAACCCGUAUGCUUCGGCAAGUUUGACUGUAACAUCCCCCCAUGUGUACUCGUUUCCAUUUUCCUUCAAUUUCUUUAUGAUGUCACCUGCAAUAUAUAUAUAUAUAUAUAUUUAUAGAUGGAUCAAAACAACACUCUAAUUUCCGAUCGAAAACAUAGUAUGAUAAACUUAAGCUGUAUUUCCUUUAUUUUUCUGAGCUAUACAUAUAUCAUAUUCGCCGCCAUAUUCUACGAAAAACUCAAGAAAGAAAUCUGAAGUCAAAAGUAAUUUGAAAGAGUUAUCUUACUGGUGGUGUACUCGCGGUUCAUGAGCUCAAGAGUCUCUUGUUUGUGUCCAAAUCCUUUGCGAUUAUAAUUCUUGCUCCUAGUUAAGUUGUGCCUGAACUUCUUGGUGUCAAAUUCGGAGUCUACAGUAGCAGCAGAAGGAGAAGGAGCAGCUUCGCCGGGAGCGGAGCAUCUCACGGAGAAAGGUUUCCGGCAGCGGGAAAUUCUUGGCUCGGGCAAGGCGAAGUCCUUGGUAGCGGUGGAUAGGCGGGAGAAUUGCAGAGAAAUUGCCAUGUCGACGUUUUCCGGUGGAAGUGGCGGAGGUUAGCAGGCGUACGCUAGUGGCGACUGGGGGAGGUGGUGCGGGAUGGGGAGCGGGCAAAAUCUUAUUAAGUCCUUCCUUCUUAUGGUUUUGGUGCCACACGGAGCAUCUGAUUUGUGGUCCUGUCGGAGCUCGUGAUCCAUGCGCUUUUGUCGUUUUGCGUUUUUCUAAUUAAUUUGGUUAAUCUUUUGUUUAUUUCUUUCCUUUUAUUCCCUGGGGGGUUGGUGAGGACUGGUGUGUUUUAAACGCUGCUAGUAUUUUGCUAGGCUGAGAUGCCAUUUGGGCUUUGGCAUUUAGCUGAAGAGAAUCACACGAAUUUUUUCUGGCGGGGGGUGUUGAAUGCUACGUGUUUGGGUUGGAUUCUGCUAGCGUUCCUGUGUACCUUUUUUUUUUUUUUUUAAGUUUUGCUUGGGUCCGUUCACUUUAAUUGCAAAUAUUGAUGCGGAGUAUUUUUCUCAAGUGUCUAAAAUUAAUUGUCGACCGCGAUAAGUCACUCACGGGGUAUUAAUUAGCAGCUGAUUCUUCUGUUAAGAAUGAACAAUUAUCUUUUUUAGCGGUAUCUCCGAAGUAAUUAAUGAUUUUUUAGUGUUAUGAACAUACUUAAUAAUGAUUUGCACAUGUACAAGCCUAGCUGUACCGUCCCAGACACGUGGUUUUCUUUUCUUUUUUUUUUUUCUUUCAAAGAUGGAAUAUGAUUGUAUUUUGUAUUACUCCCUCCGUUCUCCUACUUUCCAUUUUAAGAUGUUCCUUUUAGUCUCUCUUUUUAAUAUAUAGUCAUUUUCUCUAAUCACACGGCAUAUUAUCAUUCAAAUUCAAAUUUUAAAUUUAUCGUGAUAAAAUUGAAAUGAGAAGUAUAAACAUUAAAAUCAAAUCAUUAUUUUUUAAAAAUUGAAUUCCCAAAACGGAAUUAUAUAAUUGGAAAGGAGGGAAUAGUAUUUAGUAGUGCUUUUUUAAAAAAAAAAAAUUAUUUCCAGCUGAGGAUAAGUGAAAUUUAAGAAAUAUGGAGAGGAUAUGGAGAUGAAAACUCGUUAUUAUAAUCUAAUAUCUCUGAUUUUUGGAAUUUCAAUCUUAGUCACUGGAUCAAAAUCUCCUCGGCGGCGGUCUAGCAAUGCAUUUAUAAGAGAUUCUGGAAAAGUCAGCCAAGAGAACAGGGUGAAGAAAAGUGGGAGCAACAUACUUGCGUACAAUUUGAGAAUAUGAUUUCGGAACUUAUCUUUAAACUACCUUAAUUUGGGAUUAUGUAAGUAAGGAUUUUGAGUUUUAACUUAAGAGCUGGGGGUAUGCUGAUGUGGUCAUAGCUUAUGAUGUGGUCAAAUUAUGAUCCAUAAGGUCAAUUCAAGUUGAGUUAUAUGCAAAUUUUUGUUCUCACUCACUAUUUAUGGGUUUAUUGAUUUUUAUGUUAUUUUGUUGAUGGAAUCAUUCAUUCUUAUUAUUGUCGAUUCCUUUAUGCUUCUUUGAAAAAAAAAAUAAUCAGGGUAUUGUUAAUGCCACAUUUGGUAUUAUAAUACCAGAGUCAUUUUAUUGUAAAAAAUGAUAGAUUUACCAGUGCUAAUGUGGUCCAAUUUUCACAAAAAAAAAAAAGAAAAAAGAAAAAAGAAAAUUGUUGCGACAUAUCUUACCAACCGCAACAUUGUCAUUUAGCUCAACUCUGUCCAGUUACGAAUAUAAAGACUCAUCUCAUCUACGUUUUUCCGUCAAAGAGAGGGCUUGGACACGCUUCUAACUAUUCAAGGAAUCAGACCUCUUGAAAAUUCGUCAGCUCCUGACACGCCAUUGAGUUUGUAUAAUUUAAGUGAGACUGUUGAGUUUGAGAUCUCAAGGUAUAAACAUUAGUUUAUUUGUGGCUGCAAAGUAAAUACCCCACUAAAAAGUGAACUUUGAAUACUCCCUCCCUUUUUUUAUAACUGACGUUUAAGAAAUUUGCUCUAGUAUACUUUUAUCUGUUAUUUUAUUAUCCUCAUACAGUAUUAAUUAUUUUUUUACAAUUUUAUCCUUUUAUCUCUCUUUUCCAAUACAGGGUUCUUAAUUACUACUCCUAGUAAUUAUUGCUUGAUGGGAGUUAGUUUGCAUUGCUUUUGGCCUAGUGAAACAGUACCAUUUAGUAUUCUAGUGAGAGAAAAUAUAGGUGAAUUGGACAAUUAAUGAGGGUACAAAAGGAAAGUAGUGUAUAAGUUUAAGCAAUGAAAAACUUUUCUUAAUUGAUGUGCAAAACUUUAAGCGCCGGUUAUAAAAAAAGAGAGGGCGCAUUAAAUUGUGGUGUAUUUACCAUCACUGGUCAGCUAGUGAGCGAGAGAGGUGAAAUUGGGCCUCCAAAACUUCAACGGUGUCGGAGACACGUGAUGAAUGCAUUCAAUGUUGACAACUCAAUGGGAUACCAAAUUGUUAACGUGGGAGGAAAACAUUCAAUAUUGACAACUGCCUAAUGUAAUAGUAAUGUAUUAUUGUAAUGUUGCGCAUCUGGACUGGACAUCUCUUUGAAGAUAUUUUAGACCCUCCCUCGAGAGUCAAGACACAUGGUCAACAAUGCUCACUGCCAUUUUUCUAUCAUUUACUAGCAUUAGACUAGUAUAACUUGCGUAUUUUCAGAUCCGCUCAAGCAUAUUUGUCUGUAAGGGACAAAAAAAAAAAAAAACUAUAAGGUAACGUUAAUCAACUCCUCAUCAUAUGCAAAGUAGCAGAGCUCCUGCAUUUUUCUGUAAAGAGAAAGAACAUUUUAGGAAGAGAAAGGGCAAAUGGACCGACGAGUCUGCGUUCCGUUGUUCAUUGCUUUUUCAUCGAAUGAACUUUUCAACUAGUAUAUAUAUAUAUUUGUGAAUUAGAUUUCACACUUCCAUUGCUACUAAUUAUCAGUUUCCAAUUGCUUAAACCUGCCAUGGAAUUGGAUAGGGGUGUCAACAGGUCGGAUUUGGAUCUCGGACUUGACUCGGAUCGGAUAAAUUUUUUCGGGCUUGGGUUGAAAAAUAAUACCGACACCCAGAUCCGGAUUCGAACCCCCCUUUAUUCUAAUAAAAAUGAGUCGGAUACGGAAUAUAGGAUUUUGAUGACUCAUAUUCGACCUGAAUCCGAACAAUAUAUUAAUAAUUAUAAAAUAUAAAUAUUUUUAAAUACAUUAUUUUACCAAAUUAACAAAUAAUUUAGUAGUGAUUUUGUAGAUUGAUUUGUGGUUAGUUUUGGAUUGACUAUUGCGAUUUAUUUGUGAUUUAGUUUUGUAAUUUGAUUUGUUUAAGUUUGUAUAUUGGAUUUGUGAUUGGUUUUGAAUUUAAUUUUAAAAUAUUUAAAGUUGGACCUUUUAGUCAUGGACCCGACCCGAAUUCGGGUCACGUCCGCAAUUUUUCAAUUCCGACCGGUUUGACGCCCCUAGAAUUGGACAGCUAUCGCUAAGUUAUUAGUUUACGUGAAGGUAAGGGGACAGCACGAUUCUAAAAGGUUAGGGAUCACAACAAAACAAACUUGAGCUGCUUGUGAACUGUUUGAUAAAAAAACUCGUGUAGUUGAGCUAGACUCUGUCACUGAUAUUAAAAAUUGCAAUGCUCUAGCUUUUAAUGCCUUAACAUGGCGAAAAUUUACAUUCUCUUCGUAAUGCUGAAGGAAAUAUACAUUGGGAUGACGCAUUUUCAACAAAUUAAGCGGCAAGACAGGUUCAGGCAGCAUAAGGUAGGUGAUAAGGGAAUUGGGAUGUUGUCACUCAAAUGUUAUAUCCACUUUCUUCUAAUUCAGAUCAGAAAAGAGAGUUACCAAGUACUACUAGAUAAAGAUGGAUAUGCAGCAUGUGGUGUUAAACGCCUUUGGGUCCAUGAAUGAUCCCGCACGGGCGACGGGCCAUCAUAACAAGCAGAACAACUGGGCUGGGAAACUCGGGAAUGUGGAGUGGAGAAGCUGAAAAGUCGAACCCACGAGAAGUCGGUCUCUCUCUCUCUGCUGUUAGCAAGAUUUGCCCGGGGGCUCAAAUUCAAUUCAAUGCAGCUCCUCCGCCCUCCUCAGUCGGUCACCUUGACUAAUGACGUUGCACUUCCAUGUGGGUUGUCGACAAAGAGGCCAUUGUUUUUACGUGGUCAGGUAGCGAAACUCGGGUCUUCUAAUAUUGUGAGAUGCCCAGACGGCCACGGCCAGACGCUUAAACCCAUUCAUGUCAGAAUCAGACCUCAUGCUUCAGGUACAAAUCCUACUACUAACUUCCCUUUCAAAAAUUGGAAUGUGGCACUGUAAUGCUUUGUCUAGAGUGUGGUGGCUUGGCAAUUGACGGGAUAGGGGAAUUUUACAUUGCGGAACUGCAGGACGAUAACAGUCCAAUCCCUCGGUUUAAGACCGUUUGAAAGUUAUCCUUAGCUUCGUUGUGGUUCCUCAAUUGCUCCCGGAUUUUGAAUUCAAUCUGGAGGCCAAACAAUUCUGAAUUGAUCAUCGUUUUUCUCCGGUUCCAGCCAUAUAUGGUGGGAUGGGUCUUCCCCUGCUUGGAUGACUUGACGUGAGAAGAAUGUUGCUAACAUCUCAUUUUUCAACUCAAAGAUUACUUGAAAGCAAAAUAGUUUGGCAACUUAAAAUUUGUGUGAAGGGCAUUUGCCAGUGUCCGCUAAACUUCAAUACUGACCAUUUAGGAAUUUCAACUUUUCACGUUUUAGACAUUUGCUUGCUGAUCAACUUAUGCUUUUGCAUGGUGUAUUUACUUUGUUGUAGCUGCCUUUCGAGGAAAAUGGUAUUAUUAUGAUGAAAUUUAGUCGCGGACUCUUGUAGAAUUCACUACGCAACAUGAUCUUGGAUAGCUAAGUUUUUCCAAAUAAUAUUUCAGUUGCAUUGUAAACACAUUUUCUAACUCACCUUUUUAUAUUUUCAGCCACCUUUUUAUCUCACAUACAUCAUAUCAUAAAGAGUACUGCAGUAAUUAUUUCAAAUAAUACUCCAUCCAAACGCACUCAGCGUUUCAUUGUGUAUCUUUGAAUUCUAAUUUGGCACCCGAAUGUAUUUGAUGCUGGAAGAUAGAAAGUUUUGCAGGCCUAGUUGAAUGCUAGGCCCUUGAAUUAUGUUAAAGCAGUGCUUUGCAAAUCGGUCGUAUGCACUCUGCGUUAGCUUCUACUUACUGUAUAUUAAGGGCCAAUUUGGAAAAUAAUCCUUAAUGUUGUUUAAAACACGUGGGGUUUGGAAAACAUCGAAAUGAGACUUAAAUGAGUGGACAAAGCAUAUCGUAAUUAGCUUGAAUGAUGGAUUUACUUACUCAUGAAGAAAUGAGUUUCGUUUCUGUCUGUUUCAGUAUAUUUGCUUCUCUCUCUUACUGAAGUGGAAAUGGUUGUCCUAGCACGUAUCUCUUCACCUUACUUUAAUCUGCUUUUGUGUUUCUGCAAAGUUGCUGUCAAAGUUAGUGUAAAGACUGCAGAAUCCGCCCCAUCGGAUGUUGUCUUGAAAGAUGGAAAUCUCAUUUUUGUCGCUGGUGCAACAGGGAGAGUUGGGUCACGAACUGUAAGGUUGACUUUUAUUUCUCUAACUACUAAGUACAAACUAAACAGACUAAACUUCUGCUUCUAAAAGUACCAGAAACCAAAAUUUUGCUGCAGGGAGCUCUUGAAAUCAGGAAGUAGAGUUCGAGCUGGUGUUCGAAGUGCUCAAAGAGCUGAAUCUCUUGUGCAAGUAUGAUCUCGAUGAUAACUACAUAGUUAGUUGACUCCUAGUCUUGUGCAAAUGAGUAUGAUUGUAAUAUAAUAGUACUACUUUCUUUCCUUCAGAGUGUCCAACAGAUGAAGUUUGAUGCUGCUGAAACUGGAUUAACGCCACGUAAGAUGAAAUUUUUAGUAGUAUCAGUCGUCUCUUGAGUGUGUGGUCUUAUCUAUGCUCUCAAUCUGAUUGAUAUGAAGAACUAUCUAUUUAAAUGCAUUUUCAUGCUUUAAGGGAAUAUGCUUCUGUAGAAAAUCACAUGUUCUUUUUGGUCUUUAGCCAGCCAUAGAGAGGCUUGAGAUUGUUGAGUGUGAUCUAGAGAAGAAGGAUCAGAUUGGUCCGGCACUGGGGAAUGCCUCAAUUGUCAUAUGCUGCAUUGGUGCCAGUGAGAAGGAAAUAUUUGAUAUUAGUGGUCCAUAUCGAAUUGACUAUCAGGCCACCAAAAACCUUAUUGAUGCGGGUAAGGCUUUUUGGCCUCUGUGCUGGAGCUUCCUUUUAAUGUCAGCUUAUCGUGCUAUUAAACUGACAUCGAUGGAAGUUGAAACUGAAGUGACGGCAUGGUAGAUAAGAUUAAUAUUCCAACAAAACGUCUUUGGUCACACUAAAAUGUAGUUGUAGAACAGAAGAAAAAUAUGUUUGAUUUUCUUGAUGCAUGUUGUUUAACCAGCUGUAUGGCAACUCAAGAAUUUGACUUCUGCUUGUGAAAAAAUUAAAGGGUCUUAACUCAUGCAUGGUUGACUAAGUUUGAUCUCGUUCCUAUCUUGUUUGGAGAUUUUGUUGGAGAGUAGUACUUGUUCAGAAAAGGCAACCAGGUGAAUGCUGAAGAAUUUGUAUUCUCCUGCAAUUUUGAUGUUUCAUCUAUUAGUAUUUCCCAUGGAGUUUAAAGGAAAAAAAAGGCUAAAACUGGUUUUCUCUGCAGCAACCAUUGCACAAGUUGACCACUUCAUUUUACUGACAUCUCUUGGAACAAAUAAGGUUGGAUUUCCUGCAGCUAUUUUGAAGUAAGUAGUCUUAACGUUCUUGAUUUGCAUGGAAAUUUCUGUGUUACUGUGGAUAUCAACACAGUAAAAUCUGUUUCGCAUAUUUUACUUUUUGACAGUGCUCUGUUUUUUUUUUUAAUUAUUUUUAUUUUUAAAAUUUUUCCCAAAAGCUUGUUUUGGGGAGUCUUGAUCUGGAAAAGGAAAGCAGAAGAAGCUCUGCUUGCCAGUGGACUUCCAUAUACCGUAAGAUCUUCUGGAAUACAUGUACAGAAUACCUCAACUAGAUUUUGCUUGCUUCUCCUUGCAUAUUUCUUAUUUCAGAUAGUUCGACCAGGAGGGAUGGAGCGGCCUACUGAUGCUUUCAAGGAAACUCACAAUAUAACUGUUUCACAGGAAGACACUUUAUUUGGUGGUCUAGUGUCAAAUCUUCAGGUUAUCUUCUUAUCUUGUUAGAGGCUUCCUGCUUGAGAUACCUGCUUCCACUUGGUGGAGACCACCUUGUUCCCAGACAAAAGCAAACAACUAAUUUGUAUUGGUAACAAAGAUACAUGUGACCAAGGCUGUGCCGUGUAGUCUAAAUUAGUGCAAAGGUGCUAUUGCAUUGGAGAUCCUAGUGUAACUAACCAAGUUUUUUGUGCUUCAGUUAUAUUAAUACACUAAUGCGGAUAGCCCUACCUAGCCCAGAUAUUAAGAAGCCACAACUACCUUCUUUUGAACUGAGAUAUAAUAUGUCUCAUGAGGGGUCUUUGUCUUCUCAAAAUUGCUGGACUUAGUUAUACUGUCUUAAGUUGCAAAUUAUAUGAACUUACUUAAUGAUACUUUGUUUCCUGAUCAAUAGUCAGUUGUACUAGUAGAAACUCAAGAUUUUGUGCUUUUGAACCAAAAUAACAUCAACUUAUACUGUCAGGUGGCUGAACUUAUGGCUUUUAUGGCAAAGAACCGCAGCCUUUCAUACUGCAAGGUGGUGGAAGUAAUUGCAGAAACUACAGCUCCAUUGACUCCCAUGGGGGAGCUCCUUGCAAAAAUUCCAUCCCAACGUGCUGAAGUGUUCUCGCCAGGGGUAACAUUAUUUAUUUCUUGCUGAAGAUUUGGCAGUAGCUGCUGCAUAACAAUCAUCAUACAUAAAAAGGCAAAAAACUUGUAUGGCCAUUAAAUUAUUUGCAUCACCUACUGUUUGGCCACUAGACUAUUUUCAUUUUCAAAUCGGCAGCUCAACUUCUAAUAUGGUACAUUAGUGAUUCCAUCCAAUGUUGGGGUUAAAUCAAAUGGCAAUGACUUUCACGCAUAGGUCAUCUGAUGUGCCUGAUAGAGUUAACCACAAUGGAAUGACCAAGAAGUAUGUCAUUCUAAUAGUUGCAUAGGUGAUUUGGAAACAACAAUAGUUCACUGACCAAAAGUGUGCACACUAAUAGUUUAGUGGCUGUCAAGGUAGUUUGCCCUACUUGAAAUUAAUAACUUCAUAUUCCUAGGUGUAAAGUAGAUAUUGUACCUUGAUACUGCAGGCCUCAGGUUACUUCAAUUGGCAAUGGUUAUUUCGUUCUGACUGAAGAUGCACCAAAAUUAAGAGAAACUCUUCUAUGUAGUUGUUGCAAUGUACAUUGACUUUAAUUCAUGGUCUGCCUCCCUUUGAUGAAAUCUGUACUUUGGGCUU